AUAGAUUUCAUAGGUCCCUUGCCAAAUUCUGAUGGGUAUUAAUAUAUUCUUAUGGCAGUAGAUUAUAUGUCUAGAUGGGUAGAGGCAAUCCCUACUAGAUCCAAUGAUCAUAAGGUAGUACUGAAAUUCAUUCAACAAAAUAUUUUCUCUAGGUUUGGCUGCCCAAGAGUGAUUAUUAGUGAUGGAGGGAGUCAUUUUAACAAUUAUCACUUUCGGUCCUUGUUGAAGAAAAAUGGAGUGCAGCAUAGGAUAACUACUCCCUAUCACCCCCAAGCUAAUGGCCAAAUAGAGGUAGCUAAUAGGGGGAUUAAGAAAAUAAUCAAGAAGAUUAUUAGGCCUGAUGGAAAGGAUUGGUCAAGCCGCCUCUAUGAUGCUCUAUGGGCCUAUAGGACUGCCUAUAAAACACCCUUGGGGAUGUCCCCAUAUAGGCUAGUUUUUGGUAAGGCCUGUCAUCUUCCGGUGGAAAUUGAACACAAAGCAUUUUGGGCCAUCAAGAAGCUUAACCUUUCUUUAGAUGCAGCUGGGAAGAAUCGCCUCUUGCAAAUGCAUGAACUCCAAGAACUAAGGGACGAGGCUUAUGAAAACUCUAGCAUUUAUAAAACCAGGAUGAAGCACUUUCAUGACAAGAAUUUAAACCGCCAGAAAUUUGAGAGAAAUUAGAAGGUAUGGCUCUAUAAUUCUAAACUUAAGCUUUUUCCAGGUAAGUUGAAAUCUAGAUGGGAUGGACCAUUUGUUAUUAUUGAUGUCUUUGCUAAUGGUGCAAUCUCAAUUCUUGAUCCAAAGACAGGAAGCAACUUCAAAGUGAAUGGCCAACGUCUUAAGCCCUAUGUGGAUACAACUCCUCCUUACUUGCCGACAUCAAUGAACUUGGAAGAUCCGGAACAGUCUCCUCAAACGCCUAAUCACUCCCUUAUUUAGGGAGAACCUAACCUAUUCCCUCUGUUUCAUUUUCUUUUUUUUACUAGUUCUCUGUUGCUUUCUUUGAGUGGACAGGAAUGGAUAUCUCGGUGCUCACCACUACCGCAUUCAGCUUGAAGGUUUCCUCGUAACCCCACGGAUGCCAACUUCAUAUAGAGGAAACUGACCCUCAGUUUGCAACUCUUACCCCUGAUAUUUUUUUUUUAGGCUUUCAGUUUCAUGUCGAUACAUGGAGGACCAUGCAUAUGUCAGUAGGGGGGGCGCUGUGAACCUCCGAAAAUUCGCUAUUUUGUUCUUCCUUAANNNNNNNNNNNNNNNNNNNNNNNNNNNNNNNNNNNNNNNNNNNNNNNNNNNNNNNNNNNNNNNNNNNNNNNNNNNNNNNNNNNNNNNNNNNNNNNNNNNNAGGUAAAUGAUGGUUAUAUUUUUAAUUCAUUUAUAUAUGAGUAUGUAACCAUUUAAGUACAGCUAUUAUUUAUUAGUCAUGUGCAUCAUUAAAAGAAAAAGAAAAAGGUUCAAAAUAUCAAAUGAGCUCUUAUGAGUUUUGAAUCGAAAAUCUAGAUGAUGAUACGUUAGCUACUUACGUGGAGAAAACGACUAACUUAACAUUCAAAUCUGAAGAUAAAAUAGGAAAAUUAUUGAUCUAUAAGAGAAAAUUUUUCAAUUAAAAUUUAAAAUCAAAUAGAUGAGAGAAUAGAAAGGUAUUAAAUUUACAAUGGUCAAAAGUUGUUGCUACUCAUUCUAAAAAAUAGUAAGUAUUCAAACUGACCUCUCAACUUUAUCUCUCAAGCAAAUCGCAGAAAUCCAUUAGAGGAUGAUGUCCUACAAGUAAAGGAAGCAAAGGUGAUUAAAAACAACGAUUGUACUCCAAUCAACAACGAAAAAUCACUUUCACAAUUAAGAAUCAUCACAGUCAAACUUCACUACGAGCAUAUUAUAUCAUCCAUCUUCAUCAAUGAUUAGUGAUCAAGAUAAAACUUAAAUCUUUCGAAGAGACUAUCCAUCAGACCUAUGGUAACUGAGUGGUGAGUGGAGAGUGAGAUUGGGCAAAGGCACGGGGUGUUCUAAGCCUUGUUUGGUCUGGAAGCCGCUAGAUGUCUACAAAGGUCAAACCUAAGGUGAUUGGGCUACUAAUCCUAUUAAAAUUAAUAUGUAUUUCUGAAGGAAAUAGUGAAAUACCGGUAGGAAGGAUUCUCUCAUAUUUGAAGUAGCCAAGUGAGAGGUGAACUACUAUAAAAAGCUCUUGCCUCAUAGUGAUCCCACUAGAAGAGAGAGAAAGUCAUUCUGCGCAUAGAUAAUCACACUGAGCCGUGUUAACACGUGUGUUGACACAUCUAGUAUCCAAAAAGAAAAUUUAAGAUUUCUAAAAUAUCAAUUCACCCCCCUCUUGAUAUUUUGUCUAGCCUCUAGAUCUUUCAAAUACAUCUUGUAAAGGUGCUACAUUUGGUCCUAUAUCACUGAAUCUAGAAAUAUGGUCAACAACAACAUUCUCGAUCUUUUUAUCUUUUAUUUCUUGGUCAAAUUCUUGUCACAAUAAAAUCUAUCUUAAUAAACUUGGCUUUGUAUCUUUCUUACUUAACAAAUAUUUUAAUGCUACAUGAUCAAUAUAAAUAAUAAUUUUAGCUCCUAAAAUAUAUGAUCAAAACCUUUUUAAUGACAAUACUAUAGCUAGCAACUCUUUUCAAUCAUGGUACAAUUUAAUUGAGCAUCAGAUAUAGUUUUACUAGCAUAUGAAAUUACUAUGUGUUUUGAAUCUUUUUUUUAUCUUAAUAUGACUCCCACUACAUAAUAUGAUACUUCACACAUUAUUUUAUAGGGAAGAGACCAAUUAAGAGCUUUUAAAAUGGGUGCCUCAAUAAGUAAUCUUUUCUCUCAAAAAAACACUCAAAACAUUUCUCAUCAAAAUUAAAGUCACCUCUUUAGAUAAUAACAUGGUGAGAGGUUUAGAGUUUUCAAAAAAUCUUGAAUAAACUUUCUAUAAUAACUUGUAUGCCCCAAGAAAUCUCUAAUAUGUUUUACUAAAUAUUUGACGCUGCAUUUUAAAUAUAAUAUUAAUUUUUACUCUAUCCAAUCUACUUCUAAACCUCUUUCAUUCACAAUGCGGCCCAACACAACUCCCUAUCUUGCUAUAAAAUGUGAUUUCUCCAAACUCAAAGCAUUCCUCAAAUGAUUCACCAAAAACAAAAAAAUCGUCCAUAAAAAUUUCCAUGUAUCUUCUAAUAAUAUCAGAAAAAUAGACAGCAUACAUCUUUGAAAUGUAGUUAGAGCAUUACACAAUCCAAAAGGCUUGCAUUUAAAAGGAAAAGUACCAAAUGGACAAGUUUUUUUUCUUGAUAUGAAUGAUUUAUAUAAAUUUGAUUAUAACUCGAAUAUCUAUCUAGAAAAUAAAUAAAAUUUUUUAGCUAAUUUUUUAAGAAUUUGAUUAGUAAAUGGUAGGGGGAAAUGAUCUUUCCUAGUAACUGAAUUUACUUUUUUGUAAUUAAUACAAACCCUCCAUCUUGUGGUUAACUUGUUUAUAUUUUAUCCCUAUUUUUAUUUUUUAUAACCAUGAUCUCUGAUUUUUUUGGCACCACUUGUGUAGGAUUAACUCAUUUACUAUCUGAAAUAGGAUAAAUAAUGUCAGCCCCCAGCCACUUCAAAAAAAAAAAUUUUACAACUUUCAUCAUAUUAGAAUUUAAGCUUCAUUAUGGUUCUCUGCUAGUUUUAGCCACUUCCUAUAUAUAUAUAUAUAUAUAUAUAUAUAUAUAUAUAUAUAUAUAUANNNNNNNNNNNNNNNNNNNNNNNNNNNNNNNNNNNNNNNNNNNNNNNNNNNNNNNNNNNNNNNNNNNNNNNNNNNNNNNNNNNNNNNNNNNNNNNNNNNNAAUUAUAUAACUUAAUGUAGAUCUUAAAUCUUGGCAUCCAACGAAGUUAGAAUUAUUGUAAUUGAUGAUUUCUAAUUGAUUUGACCUCUUAUAUGUGAGCAUAUAAUCCUUAGUUCUUUGUGAAUAACACAUUAUUCUCUUUGUUGCUAUCUAGUGAUCCAUGUUUGGAUUAUCUAAGUAUCUACAUAGCAUCCCAAUAAUAUACAUAAUGUCUCAAUGUAUACAAACUUGGGUAUACAUCAUACAUCCUAUAGCUGAUGUAUAAGGAAUUUUGUACAUUUCUGUUGCUUCAUGAUUAUUUUUAAGGCAUUGACUAAGACAAAAUUUGUCUCCUCAGUUACGGGGUUGUUUCAUGGUUUACAAUUUUGCAUGUCAAAUCUUUUAAAAAUUUUUUAAUGUAAGCUUUUUGUGACAACCUUAGGAUAUUUUGAAUAUGAUCUCGGUGUAUCUGUAUACCUAAAACAAAUGAUGCUUCAUUAAGAUCCUUCAUCUCAAAUUUUCUCGAUAAGAAUGAUUUGGUUUCACUUAGUAAACUUAUAUCAUUACAUGUAAGUAAAAUAUCAUCCACAUACAAAACAAAAAAUAUAUACAUACUUUCAUUGAACUUAUGGAAUACACAAUCGUCAACUUUAUUCAUUUCAAAGUUAUAUAAAGUGAUAACUUGAUGAAAUUUUUAAUAACAUUGACAAGAAGUUUGAUUGAGUUCAUGAAUAUAUUUUUUUAAUUUACAAACCAAUUAUAUUGAAUUUUUAGACUCAAACUUUUCAGGUUUUGUCAUAUGUAUGAUUUCCUCAAUGUCUCCAUUGAGAAAAGUUGUCUUCACAUCCAUUUGAUGAAGCUCAAGAUCAUACUGUGCACCUAGUGUCAUUAUUAUUCAAAAAGAGUUUUUUGUCAAAACUAGAGCAAAAGUCUAUUUAUAACCAAUGUAAACCAUUUAGUGACAAAAUAAGCUUUAGAUAUCUUAUUAUUACCCUUUGAAUCCUUCUCAGUUUCAAAUCUUCAUUUACAAUGAAUAGGUUUCACACCUUUAGGUAAGGGGAUGAGAUCCUAAAUAUUAUUGUCCUUCAUGGAUUUAAUUUCUUUACUCAUGUCUUCUAUCUACUUUUGAGAAUUAAAGCUUUUCAUGACUUGACAAGAGUUGAUUAUAUCAUCUUUCUCAAUGUCUAUAUCUAUUUCAUGUUCUUGAAGAUACACAAGGUCUUCAUUUGAAAUUGUACUCCUUUUCUCUUUAGUAGAUUUUUUUUAAUGUCAUUGAUUCUUGAGAUUAUUGAAUUUGAACUUCCAAAUUUGAGGAUUUUUGAGUAUUGCCUUAUUCAUGAAUUAUUAUUUCAACAAUAUCAAGUGGUUGUACUUUAUCUUUGAUCAUUUGUAGAAACAAUAAGAGGCAUUAUUAAAUAAUUUUCCUCAGAGGUAAUAUCUCUAACCUUAUCUCUUCUCCCAAAUUAAUAAUCUUAAAAGAAUGUAACAUUACUCGUCUCAAAAAUAGUAUUAGUGGUAAUAUCAUAAAAUUUAUACCCCAUAUAUCGUUUAAAAUAACAAACAAAAUAACAACUCAAUGUCUUAGAGUUAAUUUUAUUUUUAUUAGGCCUAUAAGGUCUUGCCUCUACAUGACAACCCUAAAGCUAUAAAUGCCUUAGGCUAAGUUUUCUAUUUGUUCAAAGCUUGUAAAGGAUUUUUAUUAUUGCUUUUUUCGAUACUCUAUUGAUCAAAUAAGUUAUUAUUUUUAGUGUUUCACCUUAAUGGGAUUCAGGUAAAGAAAUUUGAUUGAUCAUGUUUCUUACCUUAUCUUUGAGUGUUAGGUUUCGUCUUUCGGUAAUAAUAUUCAUACUAAAAGAUCUUGACAUUGUGUAUUGAGAGACAAUUCUAUACUCUUCAAAAAAUUUAGUGAAAGGUCUUGAAUGUUAUUCACUUGAUCUAUCAUUUCUAUCAUAAUAUUUACCACCACAAUUAGAUCUAAUAGCCUUAAUCCUUUUGUUGAAUUGAUUCUCAAUUUCAACCUUAUAAUUCUUGAAUACAUCUAAGACUUGAGACUUCUCAUAAAUGAGAUAUAAACAUUUAUAUUGAGAAUAAUCAUCAAUGAAAGUAAUAAAAUAUUAUUGCCUAUUAUAGUAUGUCGUAUAAUGGACUACAAAUAUCUAUAUGAAUCAAUUUCAAGACUUGUGAAACUCGAUUGAAAUAUAUUUUCCUUAUAUUUAUUUGUUUUCCCUUAAUGUAUUUGACACAUGUGUCAAAGUCCUUAAAAUGAAAGGAAUCAAGAAUUCCUUUUGACAUGGGUUUUUCAAUUCUUUUUUGAGAAAUGUGACCUAACCUCUUGUGCAAUAAAGAUGAUAAAUUCUCAUUUACUAACUAUCNNNNNNNNNNNNNNNNNNNNNNNNNNNNNNNNNNNNNNNNNNNNNNNNNNNNNNNNNNNNNNNNNNNNNNNNNNNNNNNNNNNNNNNNNNNNNNNNNNNNGAGAGAGAGAGAGAAGGGAGAGGGUCGAUAAUUAGUUAAUCCCCUGGGUCUAAUUAUAUAUAUAUUUAUAGAAACUUGAACCCUAAUAUUCUUCUUCUUCUUCUGCGUCUUCGUCGUCUUCUUCCUCCUCGUGGUGGGGGUUAACUAGAAGGAGCAGGAGGUGCCCAGCCGGGGCUUCGGGCCCUGGUUCUUCCUCGCCGCUUCCAUGGCGCCCGGGAGGAGCUCCUCGAAGGCCCCGAGGAAUAGCCGCCACUGCUCCUCGCUCGUCCCCCUGAACGACACGUACCCCUCCUCGGGCGCCGGGCUGGUCCUGGAAACGCAGAAGCUCAUGCUCUUCGUCAGGCAGCCCGCCGGCGGGGGAUCGCCGCCGUCGUCCUCGCCCGCCGGGCGGGAAGGGGGGUCGACGCACGAGGGCUUCCCCAUGGCCGUUGACUUCUUCGGCACCUUGGGGGGCUUCCUCUGCUGCUUCAGAAGAGGCGGGACCUCCACCGCCGCCGCCGCCGCCUGGUCGCCGUCGCCGGCGACCUCCAUCUCAAACUGGAUCUCUCUCUCUUCCCCUUCCCCCUUGAGCGCUCCUUCGUCUAGGGUUUUCGCCGCCUGCCUGCAGAGCGACUCCAGCUUGCUGGGGCCUUCUUCGACGCCGCAGAACUCUCUGGUCAUCAUCUCUCCGACGUCGGCCAGGCAGAGGCCGGCGGCGGCGGCGCUCUUGAGGAAGACGGUGCAGAGGAUGAGGAUCCUGAUGGACUCCUCUCUGAGCAUGGGGAGCUCCGAUCUGAGCAGCUCUGCGUCUCUGAAAGGAUCCAGGGAGGUGAUGUACUCCAGCUCCUGCUCCGAGAAUGGCACCGAGGACUGCGGCCAGUGCAGCCACUCGAAGUAGGGGUCGUUCAGCUGCUCGGGCAGGCACAGCCCAUGGUCGAUCGGCACCAGCUCGCAGUCCUCGCCGCCGUAUCCGCCAUGGCCGCCGCCGCCGCCGCUGCAGUGAGAGGAGGUUUUUACCAGGAUGUUGCCGGCAUGGCGGUCGAUGUUGAGGAGGCGGACGUCGAGGAUGCCGAUGCGGUGGACGGAGGAGACGGAGAAGCGGGAGGGGCCGAGAUCGCCGGCGUCGAACUGGUGGGGGACGAAGCGCUGGAUGGAGGCGACCGUCCAUGGUGGAGAGGCGGCGGCGAGCUUGACGAGGGCCGUCGGAGGGACGCCGGAGAAGCGGCCGUGGUCCAGCAGGAAGGCAGCGACCUCCCGGACGCCGGCGUCUGGCCUCUCCGGCGAGUAUCGCCGGAAGGUCAGGCUCUCCGGCGGGUCCUCCGUUAUGGGCUUCAGCACGGCGAAGCUUUCCCCGGCGCGGUUGCUCAGGCGGAAAGCGCCGUCGUGGCCGCCGGCGACGGGGACCGGCUGCGUGCCGGCGGCCAUGGCAAUGGCCGCCUCCACCACCAGAGCGUGCAGUCCCCGGACUCCCCCGCCGGCGAUGAUCUCCAGCCGAGGGAUGUGCCCGAAGGCCUCGUCCGCGCCGCCGGAGCUCGUCCAGCAUGGGGAGGAGAAGCUCCGGUGGAAGCUGGAGGUGGUGGCGGCGGCGGCGGCGGUGCCGCCGGCGGGUGAUGGCUUCAGUUGGUCGAGCUCCAGCAGAUUCAUGUCUGGGUAGGGCAAGGAUCGGAGCCUGCAUCGCCGGUUCUGCAUCGCCGGCUUGAAACCGUGGCGCUGGUCGACGGCGAUCGCCAUGGCCGGCGAGCUCCCCUCCUCUCUCACUCUUCGUCAGUUAGAUCUGCGGGCUGGAGGAAACUCCGAUCCCCAUGGCCAGAUUCUGCGUCACGAUCUGCGGACGGUGGCUGAGAAACAGUGAUGAAUCAUGGAACCCUAAUUUUUUGAUGAUAAAUUUAUUUUGAACGAUUCUGAAACAUUGAUGAUGGUGAUGAUGACGACCUGUUGGUUCAGUCUCUCCCCUUCAUGCACAUCCUCUUGCUGGCAUCGGUGCGGGUCGUUUGAUUCCUGCAGAUUAUGAAGAUGGAAGAAGUUGAUGAAAUCCAAGAACCCUAACUACUACCGACGGCGAUUCACAGAGUUGGGAGACAACCAGAAGCAAGCAGACAUUCAUCAACAACCAACAAUGGAGUAACCAAUCUGCGUCUGGAGAUGAUUUACAACACCAUCGACUGCAGAUUUAAAACGCACAGAUCCAGAGCAAUCCUCCUUCCGUCGAGAAAGCGGGAAGAACACUUCGAUCAUAAUCGGAGAAAAACUCCACAAACACAGAGCGAGAGAGAGAGAGAGAGAGAGAGAGAGAGAGAGAGAGAGAGAGAGAGAGAGAGAGAGAGAGAGAGAGAGAGAGAGAGAGAGAGAGAGAGAGAGAGAGAGAGAGAGANNNNNNNNNNNNNNNNNNNNNNNNNNNNNNNNNNNNNNNNNNNNNNNNNNNNNNNNNNNNNNNNNNNNNNNNNNNNNNNNNNNNNNNNNNNNNNNNNNNNAGAUUUUCUUGAAGAAACCCUUUUUCCUCUAAAGUCAGAAAAUUCUAAAUUUGGGUUCAAAGAUCUUCUACCUAGCAUGCACAACAUAAAAUAUGAUAAUGAUAAAGCAGAAAGAUAAGUAAAAACAGAUCAUAUAAAGAAAAAUUAUCAAAUAUUUUAUUGUUUUUAUAUUUUUUAUCUCUUAUUCAAUGAAAAGUUUUUUUUUAACUCAAAUGAAUCAUAAAUAAGAGAUAAAACUAACAAUCUUCCCCAACAAUGGUGCCAAAAUUUGUUCGACUAUUUUCUAUCAUUGCUAAGAAAAUUCAGCAAAUUUAAAAUUUAUAAAUUCUGGAAAAUAAGGCAAUUCUUAAUAAAGCAAUAUUUUUAGUGGAUUUUCCAGGUUGAUCAUAGGGAAGAUGAAGUAAUAUUAAUUAUUUAUGAUUUUAUUUGAUAUAUUACAUUUUUUAAUUUUUUCUGGCCAAAUUAUAACAAAAUAAGCUAAAAUUGCAAAUUUGGGGGUUAUUGACGUCAGCUGAUGUCAGCCUGUGAAGAACAGCCCUAAAUUCGCAAUCGACGGAAAUACGUUAACACGUAAAUGGAUCAAACCAAAGCGACAAUGAUGAAAAUAAGAGAUUAAUAGAAAAGGGCUUUUGUUCUAAAGAUGAUGAAGGAUUGAAAGAUGUAUUAUUGGAAUCUAAAAAUAGUAAAAAUGAAUAGAAAUUAAAGUUUACGGAAGAACUGGGCGGCGCAAUUAUCGAUCGGAUUUUUGCCCAAAUACAAUCGAUUUGUGUAGGCUCAGUGCACCGAUUGGUUUCCUACACCUUCUCCAAUCGAUGGUUGACAAUCCCAACAACUAUCACUUGCUGAAAUUGAGUAGCAAAGAUGAUUCGACUCCAAGCGUGCCAUGGUGUCUGGAGAAGGAUCCUUAGAAGAAAUUCUUCGCCGUUUGUAUCGGGCAAAGAAUGGGGAAGAUUUCUAGAAGAAAUUCAGCCUCUGUAGAAGCUGAAUGAGGGAGAAAUUUGGACGAAAUCCAUCUUUUGUAUUGGAUGGACGGAUUGGGCAAAAUCCGACGUCUAUAGCAGCUGAACGAGAGGGGUUUUGAUCUGAGAGGGGGGUAGAAUAAUCAAGGAUGCCUUCUUCCUCUCCGAAAACACCUUUUCAAUCUUCCUUUGCACAUAUUUCAUCAAUUUGUUACAAGUAAUUGUCAUAUUUGUCGCCGCAAUCCGUGCGUCCACUAUUAACACAAAAACCCUAAAAAGAUUUGAUUUUUCAUUAGUUUUAAAAGAUUAUAAAUUAUAAAAAUGAAAUCCAUUGAAUUAUAACAUAAUUUCCAAUUGAUUUUUGUCAAUUUACUUGGCGAAUCUCUCUUUGGAGAAUCAAUUGAUCAUCCAGCGUGAUUUUUGCCGAUUUUUCAGGAUUUUCACUGAUUUUUUGAAUUUAAUGAUUUUUCUCAAAUGUCCUUAAUAUUUCUAUAAAAUCAGAAUAAAUGUAGAAAUAUUCUCAAAAAUAAUAUAAAACAUAAAAACAUGUGAGAAAUAUUUUCAUCAUAUUACAUGACUGAUUUUUUCAUGUAAUUCUUAGAAAUUAAAAUUAAAAUCAUAUAAAUCAUUUGAAAUCUAACUUUUCCAAUUUAAAGUAUUCUGUAAACAAUUAAAUUAAAAUUAAAGCAUAAAUAAUAGAAACACUAAGGAGAUUGUCAUGUAAAUAUUGAGAGUUAUCACUAUUUGAUUAUAAUCGAAGCAGCCAUCAAGGAAACAAAAAUAUUUUUGACCUACCAAUUUCUCUAAAAUUUGAUCCAUAAAUGAUAAGGGAAAAUUAUCUUUUUUAGUGCAUGCAUUUAAUUUUCUAUAAUCAAUACAUACACGCCAUUUGGUUGGGAAUCUUACCUGAAUUUCUUUUUCCUCUUCAUCCUUGAUGAUGGGGAGUCCUCCCUUCUUUGGUACAACCUGAAUUGGACUCACCCAUUUACUAUCAAAAAUAGGGUAAAUAAAACCAACAUUUAACCAUUUAAUUAUCUCAUCUUUAACAACAUCUUUCAUGCUAGGAUUUAAUAUCCUUUGCAUCUCACACCUAGGUCUUGCAUCUUCCUCCAAAUAAAUACUAUGCAUGCAAGUUUCUAGAUUUAUACCUUUGAGAUUAGAAAUAUACCACCCAAUUAAAUUUUUACAUGAUGAUAAAACAUCAAUCAAACGUGAUUCUUGGAUAGAAGUUAAGUUUGAUGCAAUAAUGACAAGGUUAGUAUUUUCUGGACCUACAAAAACAUAUUUAAGACUUUUAGGCAAAGGUUUAAGAUCUAAUGUUGGAGAAGGGAUGGAAGGAGGAGAAAAUUCUUCUUCACAUGUUGCUCUAGCAUAUAAAUCAGAUGGUUUAUNNNNNNNNNNNNNNNNNNNNNNNNNNNNNNNNNNNNNNNNNNNNNNNNNNNNNNNNNNNNNNNNNNNNNNNNNNNNNNNNNNNNNNNNNNNNNNNNNNNNGACCUCCCGCGGCUCGCAGCAGUACCGGGCGUUGACCGUCCCGGAACUGACGCGGCAGAUGGGGGACGCGAAGAACAUGAUGUGCGCCGCCGACCCCCGCCACGAGCGCUACCUGACCGCGUCCGCCAUGUUCAGGGGGAAGAUGAGCACCAAGAACUCGUCCUACUUCCUGGAGUGGAUCCCCAACAACGUCAAGUCCAGCGUGUGCGACAUGCCCCCCCGGGGCCUCUCCAUAGCCUCCACCUUCAUCGGCAACUCCACCUCCAUCCAGGAGAUGUUCCACCGCGUCAGCGAGCAGCACACCGCCAUGUUCCGCCGCAAGGCCUUCCUCCAAUGGCGAGGGCACGGACGAGAUGGAGUUCACGGAGGCCGAGAGGAACAUGAACGACCUCGUCUCCGAGUACCAGCAGUACCAGGACGCCACCGCCGAAGACGACGGCGACUACGACGAGGACGAGGAAGACGCCGACCAUGUGGAGGCCUGAAUUCCUUCCACCAGUCACUACCUGGUUGGCAUGUUUCUAUCUAUCCGUCCACCUAUCCAUCUACUAGGGUCCAUAAGGUUAUCAAUCCCCUGCCCCCGCUUCCUUCUUCUCGGAUGGUGUGGGCGUGCUUCUGAUAAAACCAUGGCGUUGCUUGCUGCCUCUGUUGACCCAUGACCGAUUCACGAACGAAAUCCAUAUAGCAUAAAAAGAUCGAAUGAUGGGGAGAAGGGACGGCAGAAGGCUCUGCAUUUCUUUCUUCUUACACAGUUCAUCGGGCAUCCGACGCCCAUCCGUGGAAAAAAAGGAAGCUCGGCUGAAAUCUGGCAGGGUCCAAUCUAUCUAUCUAUCUAGCUAUCCUCACCAUUAAAAGAUUUAUUCAUGGGGGGAUGAGAAGACAAAAUUUCUGCGUUUUUUCUUCUCGAAAGAUUUACAGAAAGCUGUACAUAGAUUAAUCGACGACCCGACCACAGAGAUGAAACAACGUUAGAUGAAACAACAACCUUCUCCUUCUCUGGUGUAGACAUUCCGCUUCACGGCGCUGGCGUUGAGCAGCUUUCCGUCCAUUGACUUACACCGCCAAGCCUCAUUUUUGUUUUCUCUGGCUUCUCAGCGGCACGACACGAACCGUCCUGAGCGUCCUCAUCUUCUUCGCUGCAGCGGGACUAAAAGGGCGUCCCCCAGUGAGCGCCCCCGUCCUUGACUCUAUCUAAAAUAAAAGUGAAGCGGGUUUGCCUUCUGCAUCGGAAACUGGAAAUCCACUCACCAUGGCUGGCUUUCUCGUACCCAGCAUGGAGCUUCCUCUUGGAGGCCUCAAUCUUUUCUCGGACCGCCAUCUCCGCGGCGUCGUCGAUCGUCUGCACAUGGUAUAACAUACAAAUAGCAGGGAGAACAUGAGAAGGGAGGGAAAGAGGGCAAGGGGAUGGCCUUUAAAGGGAAAUAAAUUUGCGAGCUAAUACAGGUCGGGGCGACCAAGCUUCUCCUUGUGAGGCUCUUCCAUCUUUGUCUUCAGUGGUGGGCUUGUUACCUGCGGCUUCGUUUCCUCAUUCCCCCGAGAAGAAUCCUUGCGGGGACCCUUCUUGCCCCUAAACGUUGAAAGCCAAAGGACGGAAGAGGACGUUUAUUGAAAGAAGAAGCGGAAAAAGAUUGAAGAACCGAACCAUAAGAGUUUCGUCCGGUUGCAGAGUGUCGGUAAUCUUCGCGAUCUCGUUCACGAUCUGGCUCCAGGUCUCCUCUUCAGGGUGUCUAUCACUGCCCCUCCAGCGUCGGGGCUGCUACCAGCCUAGAUCUGCUUCUCCCCGCCGACGACAUCCAGAUGCACUGUCUUCUCCGGGAGCCGCUUCCUUGUGGGUUCGUCGCGUGGCGAGAGCUCCAGCGGGCGAGGCGAGAAGAGCAUCUCGGCGAUGCGAUCCCUGCGGAGACGAAGCUCUGCGGGGGAGUCCGCUGCGGCCACCCGGAUCCCCUGGUAGGUCACAUGGAUCCGGGGAGGCGCAGCGGAAGAACUUCCUCCAGUAGUCCAGGUCAUGGAUCUCAUCCGCCAUUCCUAAUGACAGUGGGUCACGAAUGAUCAGAGACGAGGGUUGCAGAAGGUGGAGAAACUUCAGGAGAGCAAGAGCAAGGUGAGAGAAGAGGGAUGCAAGGAGCAAGAAGAAGAAGAAGUCAGCACAGAUGGGUGGAUGGGGACGAAAUGCGGGAAAUACCGGUAGAGGGACGAAUGUUUUGAACCUUUGGCGCGAAGAGCCGUUGUAUUUGUACCUCAAUUACCAAAAUUGAUUAGUUAUUUGUACUUGUACUCCUUUGGUUGUGUGAUUACAGGUUUACCCCUCUACGCCAUGCCAGCGUCCAGGCAUACCAAAAACUCGUGCGNNNNNNNNNNNNNNNNNNNNNNNNNNNNNNNNNNNNNNNNNNNNNNNNNNNNNNNNNNNNNNNNNNNNNNNNNNNNNNNNNNNNNNNNNNNNNNNNNNNNAAUUGUGAGUUGUUCAUUUUGUUUCUAUCUUCUAGUUUUUACGCCAAGUCCAUAUUUGACUUUUAUCUCCAACAAGGUUUGGGCUCUCCUUCCAAUUCGUCCAAGGACGAUGGGAACACAACGAGCAUAAUCUAUCAUAUAGAUAUUCCUAGCUCUCCGGAGAUGCAUUCCUAUGCAGAGGCCAAUUUACAAGGAUCACAUUUACCUUUUCGGAGCCCUUCGGGUAUUUACCAUCUAAUCAGCCAGUGGGGAAGCCUAAAGAGGGAAGCAGAAAUAAAUGGUUUGACCAAGAGAAGAUGGUAGAAAUAAAUGAUAAUUUUAAUCAUAACUUUGUCAAAGAUGUCUCGAUAACCUCUGAUAUGGAAUCAUUGAUCGACGAUCAUCUGCAUCAUGGACUAUCUCAAGAUUCUGGUGAAAUCUCCAAAGAGGAAGGCCAUCCGAAAAUAGGCAAGGGUGGUGGCUCAUCUUUACGGGUUUUAUCAAGAAGAGUUUCAAGGAUUCUCCCAGAUUAAUCAGUCGUCAGAUGGUAGCAAAUCUAAGGUUUCAGUAAAUGGUCAUCAUAUUCCUGAUCGUCCCCUCAAGAAGGCUGACAAGCUAGCCGGGCCUAUUCAUCCGGGAGAAUACCAGUCAUUAGCACUCUAUUGUCUUGCCUGCAUCUCCUUUUAAGUUCAAUGGUAAGAAGCAAUUUUAUUGAAAAUUUCCGAGAAAUUCCUUUUUUCUAUCGUUGCACUGACGGGCUGUUAGAUCAUAGAUGGGAAUUAGAAUCUCAGUAAAAUCAGCCAAAGAAAUUAUUUAUUUGGGAAAAAUCUUAGAAUCGCCGUCGCUGACCAACAAUGACCAUACUCUCUUCUUCACCGAUAUCAAAUGCAUCCAAUAGUAGAAAGGGAUGAGGAUGAGGAAGGCCCGAUCAGGAGACUUUCUCUAAGCUCCUUACUUCUGUUGUUAUUUAAUCAUUGUUGGGACACUAAUUAUCUGCUUAGCCUUCAAAACAGGUUCAGCUUUUUUCCCAAUGCUUCUGCUUCGCUUACACAUGUGAUCAAUAGAUGUCUCGCCCUCUGGCAGAUGAGCCCCGAUUUUAUUCUGUUUAACAGUUUCGAUCAAACAAGUUACCGCGAAGUUUUUCACUCGUACCUGAAAGCAAUGUGAUUUCUCUACUUUGAAGAGCAAUAAUUCAUCUCAUAGCUAGUUUGAAUGUUUUUUGUGCUGAUUCUUCUGUGGCUUCAAUCCAGAUACGACCAUGCAGCUGGAUUCUGGGGCGUUAUGGGGCAGCCAUGUCCCGGCAUAAUUCCACUAAGAUCAUCUACAUCUGAAGGGUCAUGGAUCGUAGGAGCUUGCCACGAGAGUACAAGCUGAACUCGGUGUUCUUUCUUGCAGCCGUUUAUCGAGGAAUUCAACUAUCCCAUGCCGAAAAACUGCGCCGGUGGAAAUACUGGUGUCACUGUUAACGGCAGAGAGCUUCACCAGAAAGAUUUGGAUCUGCUUGUAGGGAGAGGCCUUCGGGCAGAUUAUGGGCGAUCGUAUCGUAUUGACAUCUCUGGCAAGGUUCUGGAUGAUGCUUCUGGCGAAGAGCUGGAUAGUCUCGGCAAGCUUGCUCCGACGUAUGGGCCAUCUGAUCUCUCACAACUUCCAUGAACUCGGCCAAAAGCUUUUAUGACGCCGAAUGUUUCCAAUUUCUUCGUGUUGACGUCAAAUUAAUCCGGCUUUAUUUUCCUCUUCCGACAGGAUCGAGAAGGUGAGGCAUGGAUUUGGAAUGCGUGUUCCGGGAGCCCCUGCAGGGACGACCUAGGGUAAACUCCCAGAAGCGGGCUCCAUGUGAUAGUUGUGUUAGCGGUGAUCCCAUCGGCCUGCUCACUCGAUCAGCUCCUCUGAUUAAAUUCCCCUGGCGCUAUUCCUCGUCUCUCGAAUCAUCGGCUUGGAUGUCUUUGAUCGGCGCCGUCGAUGAGUUGCAUGUGAUUUUCUGUUUGUAGUUCCCAGUUCUUUAUUUAACGAGUGAUCUUCCUCCUAUCCGGGAAACCGGAUUCUGCGCGUUCUUCGUCAUGAACGCACCAACAGUUUGAAUUGUUGAUUCCACCGCCCGAUUCUAUUCUGUUUGACUCACUGUUCCGCAGUUUUCGUUCCGCCAUCUCGUCCGAUGAUGGGAUCCAGAGGUCGCCAAGGGACGCCACAUUUAAUUUGCCGGAGGAAUCCUAGAAAAAAAAAAAGGGGGGGAAGAGAGAACAAGGGAUCUGAUCUGCCAAAGGUAGAAAGUACCUGAUGGAUGGGACCUUCAAUGCGCCGACACCAGCAGAGGAUACAGGAGCGAGCCCCCUAGAUCAUCCUAUCGUCGUCCCUGCUCCGCCGGCGNNNNNNNNNNNNNNNNNNNNNNNNNNNNNNNNNNNNNNNNNNNNNNNNNNNNNNNNNNNNNNNNNNNNNNNNNNNNNNNNNNNNNNNNNNNNNNNNNNNNGAGAGAGAGAGAGAGAGAGAGAGAGAGAGAGAGAGAGAGAGAGAGAGAGGGGGGGGGGGGACAAAGCAGAAGACUUUGCCUCAGGCGACCCAGCUACGCCAUGAGGUAGCAAGCUCCACGCCACCGUCUACAGUAACAAGUCAUCUUCGUCGUCCUCAAGAAUCAUGGGGAUUUGGUGUUGCAGGCCGUGGGUGGUCAGCCCGCCGCCGCUGCAUUCGUGGGUUCCGUCUCAGUCGGCAGCAGUCGCCGCCAUCAUUCUAUCAAGGCAGGGCGGCGCCGCCUGACCACCAGCCCCAGCAGAGGAAGGAAGAGAAAGUCGGUGAUGAAACAGGAGACUCCCCCGGCGAAGAUCGAAUGCUGGCCCGCCACUGGAGACCGCCCUUCCGCCGCUGGUCCCCGCGGCUGGGCGGCGCGGCCGGUGCGGCGGCGCCCUCGAGCAACUGGGCGAUCAGCCAGCUCGCCAGGGAAGGGGACAUGGAUUCCGCCCGGAGGCUGUUCGACGCAAUGCCGGUGAAGAAUCUCGUCUCCUGGAACCUGAUGCUGGCUGCGUACUCCAAGAAGCCCGGCCGCCUGGCGGAGGCCCAGCAGCUCUUCGCCGGAAUCCCCUCGCCGGACGUUGUCUCCUUCAACACGAUGCUCUCCUGCCACUUCCGCAACGGCGACGCCGACGGCGCUCGCCGCCUCUUCCACCGGAUGCCCGCCAGAGACUGCGUUUCCUGGAACGCCAUGAUCUCCGGGCUGGCGGAGAACGGGGCGACGGAGGAGGCACGGGUGGUCUUCUCCGCCAUGCCGGAGAAGAAUCUCGUCUCCUGGAACACCAUGAUCGCCGGGCUGGUGCGGGCCGGGGACCUGCCCCUCGCCGAGGAGUACUUCCGGGAAGCUCCGGACAAGGACGACGUCGUCCUGCAGACGGUGAUGAUCACCGGGUACAUGGCCGCCGGAGAGGUCAACCGGGCGCGGGCCCUCUUCGAUGAGAUGCCCACAAGGAAUCCGGUGACUUGGAACGCCAUGAUCUCCGGCUACCUCGACAACCAGCAACCGGAGAACGCGCUGAAGAUCUUCCAGGUAGCUCUAGGGGGCGGCUCCAGCCCCCGCUUGAGACCCAACUCCUCCACCCUGAGCAGCGCACUCCUGGGCUGCAGCCAUCUGUCUGCCCUCGACCUCGGCAGGCAGAUUCAUCAGCUCGCCUGCAAGCUCCCCCUGAUCCUCGAUCCCGUCGUGGGCACGUCCCUCGUCAGCAUGUACUGCAAGUGCGGUGAUCUGUGCGCGGGACGCAAGCUGUUCGAGCAAAUGCCCCGCAGGGACGUCGUCACUUGGAACGCGAUCAUCUCCGGUCACGCCCUCCACGGCCGCGGCGGGGAGGCCCUCAAACUGUUCCACGAGAUGACAGACAAGCAGGGGAUCCGCCCCAACUGGGUCACCUUCGUCGCCGCCCUCUCGGCCUGCGCGCACGCCGGCAUGGUGGACGCCGGCCGGCGCAUCUUCCGCUCCAUGAGGGAGUGCCACGGCGUGGAGCCCCGCCCCGACCACUACUUCCCCAUGGUGGACCUCCUCUGCAGGGCCGGCCUGCUGGCGGAGGCGGCGGAGCUCAUCCGCCGAUCGCCCUUCCCCCCCCAGGGAGCCCUCUUCGGGGCCCUCCUGGGGGCCUGCAGGGCGCAGAAGAACCCCGAGCUCGCCGAGUUCGCCGCCGGGAGGCUCCUCGAGCUCAACCCGAGGAGCGCCGGCGCAUACGUGCAGCUGGCCAACGUCUACGCCGCCGCCGGCCGGUGGGAGGACGUCUCGAGAGUCCGGCGGCUGAUGAGGGACGGGAAACUCGUCAAGGCCCCCGGGUGCAGCUGGAUAGAGGCGAAGGGUGCCGUCCACGUCUUCCGGUCGGGGGACCGCCGCCACCGGGAGCUGGAGGCCAUCUGGGCCAAGCUGGCGGAGCUGGAGGAGGCCAUGAAGAGGGCCGGCUAUGCGCCGCAUCUCGGCUCGGCAGGGCACGACGUUGGGGAGGAGGAGAAGGAGCGGAUACUGCUGGGGCACAGCGAGAAGCUCGCCAUCGCCUUCGGGCUGCUGGCCGCCCCCGCAUGGGCGACAAUCCGCGUGUUCAAGAACCUCAGGGUCUGCGUGGACUGCCACAACGCCACCAAGCUCAUCUCCAAGCUCGAAGUCAGAGAGAUCGUCGUCAGGGACACCUCCAGAUUCCACCAUUUCAGGGAUGGUUCCUGUUCCUGUGGGGAUUUCUGGUGAGGGAGAGCAUGAUGGCAUUCAAGCAGAUUCCUACUACUUACUACAAUAGGAAAGAUUACAAAUUUCUUUUCCGGGCAAUUCGCCUGGAUUCUCUCUCUCUCUCUCUNNNNNNNNNNNNNNNNNNNNNNNNNNNNNNNNNNNNNNNNNNNNNNNNNNNNNNNNNNNNNNNNNNNNNNNNNNNNNNNNNNNNNNNNNNNNNNNNNNNNAUAUAUAUAUAUAUAUAUAUAUAUAUAUAUAUAUAUAUAUAUCAUACUUUAGAAAUUCUCAAACUUUCACCUUAUGUGUAAGAUGAAUUUCAUAGGAGGAAGUAUUACUAAGGCACUUGCCUUGACCCUCCACUAUGUUGGAAGAGAGCCCAAUUAGUAUAUGGAGAAAAUCUGUGGUCAAUGAGAGAACAAACAUGUCCACUAACAAUGGCUUAUUAGGUAAAGAAUAAAGAUUUGAUGGCUCAUUUAGAGAAAGCACAAAAGCAGUCAAACAACAUAAUGAAAUCCAUACAACUAUAAAACUCCACUUUGAGAAGGGGAGGGUAUUAUUUUUAGUCCCAUAUCUCCAAGUGGAGAAGUGAAGCCAUCUCUAAUCAACUCUCUUGGAAGAUCCUUUUAGUGUACCUUCCAUAUAUCAUAUAUCAUCCCACCUGUUCUCUCUCUCUAUAUAUAUCUCUCUCUCUCUCACACGCACACACAUUGCCGGCUCGGAGGCCCCAUCAGGGAUCUUAGCUUAGGGGGAGACAGAGAGGUGGAAUAAAUAACUAAAUUGGGUAAGUGGGGCAAGAUUCACGGAGUUGUCCAGAUUUUGGAACUGAACCUUCUCAAGUUGCGAUCUCCUUCCUCUCCGACUGCACACCCUUUUUGGCUUGCGGUAAAGAAGAGGAGGAAUAGGGGAAGAGAAUGCCCUGCGGAAUAAUAAGAGAGGGGGGAGCGAUGAGGAGGAGAGGGAUGGGGUCAGAGCAAGGUGUGGUUGUUGCCGCCGGCGGCCGGUGGGAAGGCGGCGAAUGGGUCGCCGAAGGGAUUUCCCGGCGGAGGCUGAGCGUACGGCGGUGGGUACCCCAGCAGCGGUUGCUGCUGCGGCUGCAUCAUCAGCGCCAUCUGAACCGCCGCGGGAGGGGCGAUGGCGUUGGAGGCGGCAAACGGAUCGAGGGAGACGAAGGGAUUAGCCGCUAACGCCGACGGCGCCGCCGCCGCCGCCGCCGCAGGGCCGUAUCCGCCGUGGCCCUGCACCCUCCGCGCCGCCGCGUCGUCGUAGAGGCUGUCGAGGAGGAGCUUGUUGAAUCCGCCCGCCUGCCAACACACAGACAGACACUCUGCAGAGUUCAGAGAGAGAGAGAGAGAGAGAGAGAGUGCAGAACGUUGAGAGAGAAACAGGGGAUCUGAAAAAAUUUAUGAUCUCAAGUUCGCUAUUUUAAAUCAGACGGCUGGGUCCUAAAGAGCCCUUGAGAAGGAACCGGAUCAGCAAUGAAAUUAAAGGGAAGAAAUGCGGAGACCCGGGGGGGGGAUUACCAGUUGACUUUCUGCCAGGUGGCUAUCGUUGCUGCUCGGAGUGGCCACCAGCGCGAGCUCCCACCCUGAGGCUCCGCUCUCGAGUCCUCCAGCCACAGAGGACUCGGCUUUGCCCCCUCCUUGAGUGAGAAGGCGAUGGUGAGUCGAAGUCAAACCGGAGACCCAACAGGAAAGUCAAAGAACGCGUUCAACGGCUACCGAGAGCGGGUGGGUGGUAGAGGUUACCGGAGGAAGUGAGGUACAAAGCCAGCGCGUUGCUUUCAUCUAGCUUCGCCGCGUCGGGGUUGACCUCAUCCAAACCCUGGAAAGAGAUGAGAGAACCCUUUUCUCUGAGGCAAAGUCAACGGAGAAGGAUCGACAGGGGACGAAACAAGGGAAGACUCACCAGUAGGUCUCCGGUCUGGGCGGGGAGCGGUUGAGCUGGAGCCUCCUCAGUAGGUCGCUGCUGGUCUUCUUCGGCUUCACCUGGCUUCGCCUCGGGUCCCGCAGAGUCGUUCUGGCCACCUUCUUCCCGGGGGAGCUCCUCCUCUCGUUUAUCAUCAGUCCGCAGGUUCGUUGCCUCGUGAUGUUCCUGGUUUCAGCGGCAAGAGACGAUCCAGUGAGUGGAGAACAGUCGGGGGUCAUUGAUUACGGAUGAAAAAUGCCCACCGCGGCCUUCUCAGAGACAUAGCCGAUUCGGGGAGCUUCUCUGAUGUAUUCUUCCAUGGUCGCCAGAAAAGAUGGAGGAGGCUGCACAGCAGACGCAGAGUUCCCUAAAAAUUUCUCGGUGAAAGUAGACAUGGCGGCGAAAGAAAGAUGGCAUAGAAAGGCGGGCAGGUGAAGAUCACAAGCCACGUCGUCGUAUCUUGAAUAAAAAAAUGGCGAAGAGAAAUUACCUCUCUUAAUGUUGGGAAAUGAAAAUUCCUUGCGAGCUCCAAACCUUUACAAAAUUCAUAAAAUUCUGAUAGACAUUCGGCCUGCAAUAAGAGAGAGAGAGAGAGAGAGAGAGAGAGAGAGAGAGAGAGAGAGAGAGAGAGAGAGAGAGAGAGAGAGAGAGAGAGUAGAGNNNNNNNNNNNNNNNNNNNNNNNNNNNNNNNNNNNNNNNNNNNNNNNNNNNNNNNNNNNNNNNNNNNNNNNNNNNNNNNNNNNNNNNNNNNNNNNNNNNNGGAGGAGGAGAGAGAGAGAGAGAGAGAGAGAGGGUUCCCCUCUCUCUUCACGAACAGAGGAAAGAACUGCAGACAGCCAAACUCACUCUUUCCCUACGAGUAUAUUGUCCCUUAUGUAGGGACAAACCCCCCCCCCAAUUUGUGGAUUACUAAAAUACCCUUCUAUAGUAUAAUAAAAGGGUUUAAUUUGAGCAAACCCCAUUGUUCUUCCACUUUUACUUCCGCACAUAGUAUUUAAAAAGGCCUAUGUUCUCAUUCAUGCAUGUAUAAAGCUGACUCUCUUUAAUUGUUUUCCUUUUUUUAUUUGGUUAUUAUAGCUAUUACAAAACUCGUUGUCAUCAUCAUACAAUUUUCUGAUCAGUAUACUCUUUGACUCUUGUUCAUCAUCAAGUAUUUUGUGGUAAAAACUGCAUCCUCCCCAAAUUCCCGUUUAACUGAUCUCUCUUGCUUUCCGACCAGUUCCCUAGUUUUGUAGCAUAGAGGGGACUUCUAAUGAUUUUGCAUUUGUACUCUCAUCAAUCAAGCUUCACCUCACAUCAUUCCCAAACUCCUCUUUGAGUCCUAAAGUCUGGUGAGCAAGAGUUCAACCCACACAUUAUUGAGCCAAAUCAUGAAUGACCCAUCAUUUUUUAUCAUUUGCUUUCAAUCAUUUUUUAUAUUUUGACUAAUUGUAUGUGGGCUUUUUGGAUGUGAUGUAGUUGGGGACGGAAGGAACUCCAUUCAAGAGCUUCACACUUAAGGCUCCUGGACACCCUCGUGUGCAGUAAUGAACACAGAAGAUUAGCCCUAAUGAGCCAAUGUCGAGAUGAAACUCUAGAUGGAUGCGUGUUCCAGAGGAUCUGGUAGAGAUUAAGGGUACCACAUCCACCUCAAUAGCUCUCGUAUCAUCUCUGUUUGAUCGUCGGAAUAGCCAUUUCACUGAAGGUCAAUUGUCCAAAUAAAUAGAUGGAUAGAGAGAUAGAUAGAUAAAUAGAUCAUAUUUGUAGGUUGAGUUUCAAAGUCUGCAUCAAUAGUUGACUUUCCAAAUGGUUUGUACAUAGAGAAUGCUUAUUCACUGCUCUGUGUCCUUGUAAAAAAAAAAAUCUUAAAAUUUUAAACAACAAUAAUUCAUUAUGGAAUUUAUUUAGAGACAAAUAAAUCUCUACAUUAUUAAUGAAAAUUCGUUUAUUCCCUUUUUUCUUUCUGUGCACAAAAAUCUGACAAAACCAUGUUCUAGGUACAAUUGAAGCUUGGAAGAUCAUUCAUAAUAUCUGACAAAAACCCUGCUUUGUCAAUUCCAACCCCUGAUCAUGCUCUUUUAUUAUUCUUUUUCAUAGCACAUUAUAUAGUGGGAUUAUCAUUUGGUUAAUAGCACAUAAGCAUACUUUACUUGAGCCAAUUUGGAUUUUGGUUGAAUGGCAUGGUUCUUGCAUGGAGCAAGCUGCAGCAGCGGCAUUGAUCCUCAAGUUGGCGGUGGUACUAUAAAAUCGAUUCAAGAUCUAAUGGUGGAGGAAAACAUGUUAAUGUUUCUCCAGCCACUUCAGUCGUGGGUUAUCUAUUCAAUGCACCUAAAUAAUGUACAUCUUAUCAUUCUCUCAUCUUCAUGGAUGUGUCUAAAAAUAAUUCUUUUAGCACUAUUUAUAGAUAUAUAUAUAUAUAUAUGCUAGUAUGAAUUAAGAGGAAGAGGAUAAACAUGGUUAUUUUUAGUAUGAAACACAUAAGAAUCUUGGCAUUAUUAUUUUUGAAAGGACCACAUUGGAGGAUCUUGCCUUGUUCUAGUCCAUUGAACCCUUGUAAUCCAAUAUAAUAUGUAUGAUAAUCUUAAUUAGGCUAAUAUAAUUAUAUCUCAGCUCCAAUUAAUUUGAACUCCUUUUCCAUCUCCAAGAAUAAAAGAUGAUUGAACAAUCUUCUUCAUGAUUUCAUUAUGUUUAAAUAAAAAUAAAAUUAAAUAGGAGCCUUUUUUAAUCACUUUAACUCCAUCUUAAAGCAAAUGAUUAACUAUUUUUGGAAUUAAAGCGUUAGAUCUCUCAUGGCUAUGGAAAUUACCUUGAUCUUAUUCAAACUAUAGUUCUCCCAUUCGAUCAAUAUUAACUCUCCUUAUUUUUUUGUAAUAAAAAUUAUUUUAUGCCACUACUUUCCUCACGCCUUUGAGAACUUCAAUUAAUAUUGUUAUUUACAAUUAAAUAAAAAUGCAUAUAUUAAAGCGUAAUAUAAUCCUUUUAUUUUUUUAUUCAACAACACCCUUUGUAAGUGCCUCUGAGGACUCCCCGAGUCUGACCUGCUAUUUGACGUGACAUGAUAAGAGGGAGGGGGAGAGAGAGAGAGAGAGAGAGAGAGAGAGAGAGCACUACUAAGUUAGGNNNNNNNNNNNNNNNNNNNNNNNNNNNNNNNNNNNNNNNNNNNNNNNNNNNNNNNNNNNNNNNNNNNNNNNNNNNNNNNNNNNNNNNNNNNNNNNNNNNNAACAGAGGAAGAGCUCGUCGUUUUCGAUGAUAGAAAUAUUUUAUACUGCACUGAUUUUCGGGUGAAACUACUAUAAUAAACUCUGUCGCCCACAGAGGAAGGACACCUGUCCAACGUAUCGCCUCUCCGACGAGCAGAAUCCUCACUUGCCCAUUCUGGAACUGCCGUUACGAAAAUGAAGAAGACGAUGAUCCUGCCGUCGGAUAGGAAAGAUCUAAUCAUGAUCUAAUAUCAAUGGUGUGGAUUCAGAGACCUACCAGGGGGAGCUUGGAGAAGUGGUCAGUGGAGGGGGAUCCGCCGCCGCAGACGCUAAGCACCUCCCCCCGGACUUUUUCCUGCCACUUUGGAUUGGUGGCGAGGAGCAUCACGGUCCAGGUGAGGAGGAGAGCCGUGGUCUCGUGGCCGGCGAAGAAGAAGGUCUUGCACUCGUCCAUGAGGAGUUGGAGGGUGAAGCUGAAGCCGUCCCUCUUCUUCUGACUCUCCGCCAGCAGCAUCCCCAGCAGAUCGUUCCCGUACGAGGAGGUCCUCCCCACCUCCACACAGUCCCUCCGGCUCUGUACGAUCUCCAUCAGCAGCCUCUCCACCUCCAUCUUCAAGUUCUUGAUCUCCCUCCUGAACUUGCUCGGAAAGAACCUGCCGCCCAGUGAUCGUUGGCCAUCGUUAUUCCCGUCCCAAAACAGUGUACGAAGAAAGGCGAGUUUAAAAAUGAGAAACGGGGACUCACCGGCUGCCGGGGAAGCACAAAUUACGGCUCGAUUGAGCCGUGAGGGCCUGCAAGCAGGCGAGGAGGUGAAAUAUCUUCUUCCCCUUCUCGUAGCUGCUGUCGAACUCCGUCCUCGAGAUGAUAUCCCCCGUGAGCUGAGUCAGGUACCCACCGAUCUCCACCUCAGUGGGUCCCGACUCGGUCGCCGCAUGCAGAGCCUCGAUCGUCUUCUUGGUGCACUCCACCAUGUACCCUACAUGGCUCUGAUCAUCCCGAAGUUAGAAAGUGAAGCCGUUCUCCGGAGAAGCCGUGGCAAGUAAUAGUCUACUAGUAAGUUACCUUAAGCUUGUCGCCCAUGAACGCCGGGGCUACGAUGUGGCGUUGGUGGAACCAGUCGUCACCGUUGGCCAUCAGCAGCCCCCGGCCAAUGAAGUGUUUCGAACCUUGCUGCUGCAGCCACGACUUGCCAGAGGCGUGGGUGUACUUCGACGACAACAGCUCCUUUAUCAUCUCCGUCUCCGUCAAACACAUCCUUGGCUCGCUCCCGCACCAGAAAAUAAACCUCUUCCCUGACCAACCAAAAUCCCAUCUCUCGUUAAUUGUCGAUGAAGAAGAACAGGAAGGGCAAGGAGAUGAAGAUCAACACAUUUUUGUACCAUAUUGUUUUGACCAGAGAACGUAGUGGGGGAGAAGGCGGCCGACGAUGUCGUGAUCAACGGAGGCCAUGUCACUGGAGGUGGUCUUGGAGAGGAGAGCGGCCACGUCGAGGAGGUUCCCGACGAGGAAGCGGGGAUCAGGGCCGCAGACCCCCUGGUUUGCCAUGACCCUCUUGAUCCUUCUGGGGGUGAAGUAGUAGCAGGAAAUGGUCACCCAUGCCACCCUGAGGAAGAAGACGAGGAAGGUGGAGGUCGCGAGGAUAGUUACGAGACCCAUUUGACACUUGGAAAGGCCGAAGCACAGUAGUCUGUUCUUCUGUUAACCUCGCCGCCUCUUCCCACCUUUUUAUAGACCAGGGGCUGAGUCCAAUCGGGAACCCUAGGGGUGCAAAACAUUUUUGUCAAUAUUUAAUUAAGAUUCAUUCUAGCCUAAUCUUGUGGACCGUAAAAAAAUAUUAUCAACCAUCAAAUCUGAGACAUUCCUAGAUUAUAUUAAGUCCUUCAAGGUUUGGACAGAUAAAUGACGAGUUGGGUCAGUAAAACACGGAUUAACCAAGGUAAUUAAACCUCACAUGUGGAGACCAGAGUAUUCCAGCGAGACGUGGCGAGAGACCAUGCAGCCGGUGGGGAGUACGGCUGGCUGGGCCCUUCACCGCGAGAUGGGUGCCUACGUGUGAGGAAGCAACCAUAGCGAGGCAUCCCCAAGACCUGUUUCAGGAGAUCUCGAGGAAUUACUUCGACAUCUAAACAUUGAGCUUUUAAACGCUCGUUGCUGUCACUGUCUCCUCUGAGCGCGAAGGACACCUCGGCCUGUGCUUUUUUUGGCUUUAUCAUUAAAUUUCAAUUCGAAAGAAAAACACUUCCGAUAUUAUUUGGCCAAAUUUUUAUCUAAAUUCACUGUAUAAAGCCCUUUUUUUCGUAUACGUAACUAUUAUAGAUCACAUUUAUCACUCACAUGCCUACCCCCCUCCCUCACNNNNNNNNNNNNNNNNNNNNNNNNNNNNNNNNNNNNNNNNNNNNNNNNNNNNNNNNNNNNNNNNNNNNNNNNNNNNNNNNNNNNNNNNNNNNNNNNNNNNAGAGCGAGAGAGAGAUGUGGGUAUUUAUGAAAUCCUAAGAUGAUUACUAAUAUCACAUAAAAUUAUCAAACCUCACAUAGACUUGCCGAGCAAUGCAAUCAUAGUCGACCAGGUAUGCUUCUAGCAUGAGGUCAUUAAUGAGCUCCUGGCCGAGCUCCAUAAUGAGCAGCACUUGGAUGAUAGCUUUACCUCCGCGGAGAUAGAUUCCAGUGCCUCCUGGCCGAGCUCCAUUUUGUCCCACGGUGUUCCUUUCCCUGCCGGAGGGGCAUCAGAGACAAUAUCAUAGGCAUCCAAGGGCUGGGCCUCCUGCUUCCCGAUGCUGUCGCUCAGCCAAGCUUCUCUCACCACCGGAAUAUUCCUCUCCCUGGGAACGGUCCCCCGUCAUGCGCCGUGUGAUCAAAGAACAAGAGUUUGACGAGGCGAGUUGGAUAGCGACGGUCUUACAUCGCUUCCGCGAGUUUGCUGGACCCUCCCCUCUCGCGCUCAGUCGGCGGGACGACGAGACACGUAACCCCUAGGACCCACCGUUGGGGGGAAGUCAAUCAGGAGGCCGCAAGGAGGCUCUGCAAAGGAGUUAGAGAAGACGAUACCAGAGAUCGUGUUGGAGACCUUCCCUCCGUGCCUCUCGAUCUCUUCCCUCCACACGUGCUGGUUUCAACGAUGAGGCGGUCAACGUGGAAACAGCAGGGAAAGAAGAAUCAUAAAGCGAGAGCUUUGACGAAGAAGAGUUUUGCACUCUACUACCGACAUGAGUUCGCGAGAGCCUGCCCGAGAGAGAUAUCAUCAUCCCCGUAAAAGGCUUGUCGAGGGGAGUCAACUCCCGGUGAGGGUAUCGACUCGGAUCUCGUUUCCUGACCCACUGCAGUCAAAUGGCUCGAAGACUAAGUCAACCCAGCGCUGACGUUUAGAUACAAGAUUUUUUAGGAGAGUCCGAGGUUGUUCUCACCUCCGCAACCAUUGGGCUGCCGACUCCCUCAGGUACCUUCACGGCCUCCGCCUUCCUCGGCGACUCCCUAGUGGUGUGUGUGCAGGUCGUCCACUCGCUGUAAGGACCUCUGCAUGCGUAGUGGCUCCGCUCGUACUUCAUGUGGUGUCCGCAGAUUGGGCAUUUCUUCAGAGGCCCGAAGAAUAGCAUAUCUUGGCUGUUUUUACGUCGUUAUCAGAAGAGAGAGAGAGAGAGAGAGAGAGAGAGAGAGAGAGAGAGAGAGAGAGUUAAGAACGUGCCAUCUAUAAAGAACGUCCUCGUCAGAGCCGGAAGCCUCCUGGUCGUUGGCUUCAAGUAGCUUGCGAAUGUCCUCGACGGGGAGGUUCUCAGAAACGGUCUUGCAGAAAUCUUGGAACUCCUUGGCGGUGCCCUCCACAGUCUUGCCGCCAACCGCGUCGGCGGGCUUGGCCUUCUUGUUCUUCUCCGCCUCGUGGGCUCUGGCCUCAGCCUUCUGCUUCCUGGUCGCCAUCUUCCCUUCUUCCUCUCCCAUCCCAUGGGUGUGGGACCUCGUCUCGUGAACCUUCAUCUUUAACAGUCACUCUCUGGGCCCUUCUUCUUCCUCCUCCUGGAGCGAGAAACCAGAGAGGUAGAAAGAGAAAGCUCUCCUUAUCCUUCCAAAACUCUUCCUCUUGCAGAUAUAGAGGGAUCCAGCCUUUCGAGACACCUGUUGCUCUCUAAGCCAUAGAAGCUUCAGCGAUCCACGCCUGUCCUCCGCAGAUGCACACGCGUCACAAUCUUCUACCACGUGCCGCCACGUUUGGUCUCUUUCUCGUUCGUCUCUGCAUUGAUAAGGGCCCCACUUCAGUCGAGACUCAAUUGUAUCUCGGUUCAUGCAGUGUUAGCGGGAUCGCAGCCGGGGCUCUAAUGGAACUUCAUCUCUCUGAACACCCGUUGACUCUUUUGACCUCAACCUGAUGCGCGCAGCCAUGACGCUCCUUCAGGCCUUCGCUUUCAAGUGUGAAAGUGAGUUUGAUGGGCUUGACGAGAUGCGGACGGUGGACCGACCUCAAACGGGGUGGGGCCUACUGAUAUGAAAACCACCAGCGAUAUGAAAACGGGUUGCACGCAAAUCAUAUCAAGUUGCACAUAUCCUGGUCAAAGAUAUUAUAAUUCGAGAUUAUGGAAAGUUCCCAAGGUCCAAAGUUUUCGGCUUUCCAUAUGUGGACGGAGCUGGUCUUCACGCUUCGAGAAAUCGGAGGAAUUCCUUCAAGCAACGCAAAACAAUCGGGUAGAGAUUAAUUCACAAUGAAAAGAAGGGAAUGGAGCGGCCUUCGGAAAGUGACCACUAGGCUCUCUCUCUCUCUCUCUCUCUCCCUCUCUCUCUCUCUCUCUCUCUCUCACUCUCUCUCUNNNNNNNNNNNNNNNNNNNNNNNNNNNNNNNNNNNNNNNNNNNNNNNNNNNNNNNNNNNNNNNNNNNNNNNNNNNNNNNNNNNNNNNNNNNNNNNNNNNNGAGAGAGAGAGAGAGAGAGAGUCGCUCACGUACGUACUCGAGCAUUACUUAUGGGCGGCGGAGAGGAUAAGCACCACGCGCGGCGAAGAGGCUCCGUCCGAGGCGGUGCGCACGUGCGAAGGGGGGCUCCCGUCCACAACUUUUGAGGUUGCUUGCACAGCAAGUGCUAACUGGUGCGUCAACUCCACGUCGGCACGAUCAUCCUCACAAUUUCCGGGGGAGGACACUGACGUGGCGGGCGAGGUGGUCGCCUAUGAUUCGAACCGGAGUCGAACCGGGGCGAGUUGAACCGGAGCCCAAGGUCUCCGUGGCCCUGAGCAUCUGACCGUUGACUUUGACCAACGGAGAAGAUCGCGACUGGUAACUCGCACCUAAUUCGUGUCGAGGAUCUUGCUGUCGUCAUCGAGAUGGUGUGGAACGGUGGGGCCCACUUUAAGCCUUUUAUAAACUUAAAAUAAGGGAAAAGGUACGUUUAUUUCUUAAAAAAGCGGUCGGUAUCAAUUUUCCGAUGUGGUAAUUUGAUUCUUUUUUAAGCGAAUCGUUAAAAACUCAAAAAAUAGGGGUCUAGAUGGUCGUUAGGAGAGAGAGAGAAAAAAUCUACGGCUUACACGCAUGUGGUUUGAUCUAACAAACUAUGUGGGCCCCACAUUUGACCCCCGCAUCAUUUAACAAUAAAUGGGCACGGAUUUAAAUAAGUAUCCGAUGGGCUGGCUCUAUAUGCUCCCCCUGCACGAGGGAGGGUGGGGAGUCGCCGGCGGCACAUCAUGCCGAAAGGUCAGUCCGUCGCCGCCGACGUCGCCUCGUCUUCUCGACUGCUGAUGGGGAUCCGCCUACGGGGGCCGAGAUCGAUUCUCCACUUGAGAUUGAUCACCUCUCACGCUCUGCCGGCUCGUGUUCUUCGCAGAUGGGAUCACCGGGCACGUCCUGCUGGGGAUAUCAGCCGCCUCCGUCGUUCUCAUGGCUGCCGCAGCAGCGGCGGCGGCGACGCGGUUCCGGCGUGAGAGGAGCCAGAGCCCGCUGGGGAAGAAGCCGGUCCCGCGGCUGGUGCGGCGGGACUCCGGCCUCGUCGUCAAGCUCGAGAGCUUCUCCGAAUACGUAGGUGAGAGAUCGACUGAUCCCGCAGGUUUGCCGAUUUAUUUUCGUAACCCAGUCCAGAUUAAUCGCCGUCCCUGGGGAUCAGACCCCGCGACUCCGAGAUAAUCAAUCGACCUCCCAAGAUAAUUCCAUUCAAAUAGCGUAUGAAUCGAAUUUUACUCCCAUCGUUUUCUUCCCAUCCGAGUCGUCUCUCGAUUUCGCGUCUGGUCGGACCUGCACCGCCUCUGUGGAAACUCGAAUCCCCUGUCUUCUGCAUCCUGCAGCUCGCCAGAUGGGGUUCGAGGACAGCAGCCGGUGCCCCCGGCUGGGGAGGCUGGCCAACGAUUAUCUCAGGAAGGCGAAAGACUGCGAGGAGAACAUCUUCACCUUCUUCGUCAAUUCCCCCGAACCCGAGUCGCUCCACGCCAAGCUCGUUGACGAGCUGGACAGAUGCAUUCUCGGCUACUUCGCCUUCCACUGGAGCCACGCCAACCUCAUGAUCCGCCAGGUAUUUCCCGCAGAUCGGAAACCCGAUGUAAAUCGAAUUAUAUACACGCCGGUGCAUGAAUCGAUGGCGUCUGCGAAUCUUGUAGGUUUUGGCGGCGGAAUCCGAGCAGAAGGAGAAGAAGCUCAAGAGCUUCGUCAUGGAGGCCACCAGGUGGGCUCGGAUCUCCUCCCCACCCUUAGAUCCACCUCGAGAUCUCCCUCCUGCUCGAGCUGUCUCAUGGCAGCUGACUGACCUGAGGGACUGUGAACAGGAAGAUGAGGUUCGAGAGGGUGACCAGGAACCUGAAGGUGACCCGGCUGUUCUCCACGCUGACGGAGGAGAUGAGGGCCAUCGGCAUGGCGGCCGGAGACGAAGCCCGCUGCACGGAGGUGAUGGUGCCGGCGGCGCUGAGCGAGCGGAGCCCCGUCCUCCUGCUCAUGGGCGGCGGCAUGGGGGCGGGGAAGAGCACCGUCCUCAAGGACAUCCUCCAGGAGUGAGCCCUGCUCGAGGCCGGCGCUUGACGCCUCAUGCCGCGGCGUUCUCCGUUGACCGCGCUUCUUCGCCGCUGCGCAGGUCCUUCUGGGCGGGCGGCGCUGGCUCCAACGCCGUUGUCGUCGAGGCCGACGCCUUCAAGGAGUCUGACGUCAUCUACCGCGCCCUCAGCUCCCGCGGCCAUCACCAUGACAUCCUCCAGACUGCGGAGCUGGUGAGCAGAGCCCUCCCCGGGUUCCCCCCCCCUCGUCUCUCUCUCUCUCUCUCUCUCUCUCUCUCUNNNNNNNNNNNNNNNNNNNNNNNNNNNNNNNNNNNNNNNNNNNNNNNNNNNNNNNNNNNNNNNNNNNNNNNNNNNNNNNNNNNNNNNNNNNNNNNNNNNNGAGAGGGUGGCUGCCACCUUCCGCCGGCUCUCUCUCUCUCUCUCUCUCUCUCUCUCUGUGAAAUCAAAGUGAUUACUUGGCCGCUUGCUCCUCCAGCACGGGGAUCUUGGGCCACCGGUCCUCCGCCCCGCUUGUCUGCAGCGGGGGCAGAGAGAAGAUGCUGACGGUGGAGCUGCCGCUCCUGAUCUCUCUGAGAACCCGCAGCGCCGCCACGGUGCUCUUCAUGUACAGACUCUCCAUGAACUCUAUCUCCUCCAGCUCCGGGAUCACCCGGCCUUCCCCGGCGACCGUGGUUGAUGGUCCCGUGUUCCCCUCCUGGGCGGCAUCCCCGUUCCUGCAGGCGCCAGGGGACACGGACGCCUCCUCCGCGACAGUGAGAAGGCCGUCGAGCAUCCUCUCGCACUCCUUGAUGAGCUGGUCCAGCAGGUCGGUGGUGAAGAAGGGCUGCUGAAGCACUCUCCGGAUGAAGGGCAGCCGGAUGAGGGCCCCCGUCCUCUUGUCGUACUUCUUGAGUAUCUUCACCAGGCCUGCUCACAUCAGAAGAAGAGUUGGAUCUACCGCCCGUCUGCCCUGAUAAGCUCAUCUCCGGUACCCAGACAGACGGAAGGCGGGCGUACCAGUGUAGUUGAGGGCGCUGUAGUUCUCGAGGAGGACCAUCUCGCCGUGGAAGUCAACAAUCUCCUUCCUCACCUUCAGCAUCUCCUCCCUGGAGGCCUUGGCGGCCCGCAGCCUGUCCUGCAGCUCCUGCACCGGCGCAGAUCCAACACAGCGUCCGUCAGAAUCUCGACUUACACUCACCCGACAGACGAAAUUUUCCAAUGGGCAGCGUGGAGAAUGUUCAUCGAAGCGAACCCCGCUUCACGUCUUCCCCCUCUCUCCGGUGGAGAACAGACUGUGUUCAACCAAUCCAUCGACAUUCACGAGGGGGUGGGGACGGAGGACGGCCUAUUCGUGGGUCUUCCGGUCUUCCGGCAACAGAGCACCCCAGGGGACGCCUCUGGGUGCAGCGCACAAGGCAAAAAGGGGUCGAUCGACGAAAGAAAUCCCCAUUUCUUCGACAUUUUCGGGGUUUUCCGCAGUGUGGCGAAGAUCGAAUUGAUCGGGAAGAAGGGGGGGGGGGGGUCACCGGGGACGGAGAAAAGUCACCAAGGAUUUCGGUUUCUGCGUGCCCCGUGCCGCCUCCUCGUGGAGAGAAGUCAACGCCAAGGGGAAGAGGGGGGGUCUAGAUGUGUUCCCCCCCUCUGUCGCCUGUGGAGGCGGUCGAUGUUGAGGGGAUAGGGGUGGGAGAGAUGAUGCGGCAUGCGGUGAAAGAGGAACGAUAGUCCCUGGAAUUGCUGCCGGAAUGGCCUCGCCGGAGAAACGACGUCUUCAACAGGGGAAAAUGGGGCGCGGCGGAGGAAAGCUGCACGGGGGAGGAGGGAAAGCGAUAAUCCGUACCUUCUGGCGGAUGAUGUACUCCUCCUCUUGCUCCACGAAGAAGGUGUUGAACUUGUCCAGCUCCGCCUCGAGCAACCUCAUGAAGCCCUCUUCCUCCGCCGUCAUCGCCGCAUUAUUACCCACCGCCGACGCGGGUGCAGAGCCACCAUCGUCCCCUCCCUUGCCGACACCCUCCGCGGUGGCCCCAUCGGCCGGGGCCAGCCUGGGCCGCUUGGAGGGGGGAAGCCCGUCGCCACCGGAAACCCCCCCGGCGGUGGAGGAGGGUUCGAUGAGCUUGAGGCGCUUCUUGAGAUCUUUGUACGAGAGGAACUUGUCCCUCCACUCGGGCAGGGUCUCCUCGAUCUGGUUGCUCAAUCGCUUCCCGAACUUCAUCCCGCUCUCUUUACUCCUCCGGAGCCACCACCCACCUACGCCCUGAUCUCCGGCGAUCGAGGAGACGGCGCAGAAAGCCAACCGCUGACGCUCGCGCAAGCAGGGAGAAGCUGUGAGGCUCACAGAAGGGGAGAGGAUGAGGAGCAGAUAGAUAUACGAGGGGAGAGAGAGAGAGGAGGAGAGAUAGAGAGAGAGAGGGGAUGGGACUGGGAGGAAGGGCAGGUGCGGAAAGGAGUAGCGGAUGGAAGGGAGAAAAAAGGGGGGGAAAUAUUCCCUAGUAAGGACAGAAUAUUCGCUCCUGAUGCCCGAAUAUCUCCGGGUUUUAUUCGGCGUGUGGGGCCCCCCCCCUCCCCUCUUGCUCCCAUCGGCGAUGCCCCCACGUGGUGACGACGUGACACCCGCCCGCGACGGUGUGGCUGGGGGCUCGACCGGCGUCCCCGCUGGGCGCGGUCCGGUUCGAAGCCGCCGGCUCGAGCCACGGCUCCACUCUCCCUCUCUCUCUCUCUCUCUCUCUCUCUCUCUCUCNNNNNNNNNNNNNNNNNNNNNNNNNNNNNNNNNNNNNNNNNNNNNNNNNNNNNNNNNNNNNNNNNNNNNNNNNNNNNNNNNNNNNNNNNNNNNNNNNNNNAGUGUUUAGACAUUUAAAAGCUUGAUAUCUUUCUUCAAUACUUGAUAAAAUAGUCCAAAAUAUCCAGAGAUUCAUCAUUUCUAAUUGUAUUUUGUGUAUUGAAAUAUGAUGUCUAAAAUUUUUGAAUGAUAAUUAUAUUUUUAAUUCUAUUACUAAGGGAUUAUCAAUGAUUUAAGUUGGGGGGUGUGAUAAGUCUUCAUUAUCAUGAGUUAAUAAUUUAGUAAGAUGAUAUUUUUAGUCUUAACUCAUGAUAAAUAGACUUAUUUUUGUGUUAAAUUGUGAGAAGUGGUUUUUAGUUGAUUAAUAUGAAUUUUUUCUUAAUUACAUGAUUUUAUAAUUUUAUUUUGUUGAGAGAAAUGAAAAAAAUAUAUUUAUGGAAAAAGCAAAAAUAUCCGCUGGCCAACUGAGCCCGCUAGCGGGUCGGAGGCCUAGUCGGGCGGAGCCGCUGGGCGGCUAAGGACCACGAGCUCAAGGCUCAAGCGGCUAAGGACCAGACCGCGAGCUCGAGGCUCAAGCGGCUGGCGAAGCGGACCGCGAGCUAGGCGCUCAAGCGGCUGACGUGUGUGUCACUCCCCUUCCACGUCACCGGUGGCCAGCCAGGCGUGGGGCAAGGAGUGUUCGUACACACCUAGGUGAUUUGUACCUAUUGAUGGGUAAAGAAUCGCCCAUAAUAUAUGCGCGUGAAACUCGCCCAAAAAACCGAUGUGGGACUAAAGCGCGCACCUUACUUUUUCCUGCAUAUUUUAUAAAUGACAUAAAUGCCCCUCAAUGACCGAUAUAAAUUGAUCCUUAUGACGUCAUAGAUUGAGGGCAUUUUAGCACUUAUUUCAUCUCUCCCUCUUUCUCUCUCUCACAGGCAGACAAUCGGCGAAGAAAUCACAAUUUCCGGAGAGUGAUUAAGCUGCAAAAAUCACCAAAAAUUCAGCAAAAACUUAGUCAACGCAAUUCGCAGAGCAUCGUGGCCGAAAUUAGUGUAGGAUUCUGGACAAAAACAUCGCGAACUCAACGAAGAAAUCAUCUCCGCUUGAUCGACGAAAAAGUCGUCACCGGAAAGAGGACGAUCUGCCGGGAGAUGAGUCGCCACCUUCUGAGAGCGUAUCAGAUGCGAUAAAGGGCCUCCUCUUGCAGCACUAACUUGAGGACGAAGCCCCUAAGAUGCACCCCACUUCCAUCCAGCACACCUCUGUCGAGUGACAGUCGCCGGAGGGCCGCAAGUCACCGUUUUUCCGUUCCGCCGGGUGACAACCGCUGGAAACGAUUUGGUGAUCCAUUCCACCGAUUUCUGAGCUUCGAAAGAAGUUCUAGAGAUCACCCACAUCGUCUUUGUCCAAGGAGAGCCUUCGAGGCCGUGGACAUUGCACGAUUUCUUUUCUGAACACGUAGAAUUCCGGCAAUCGCUGCCGCGAAGUUUGAACUCUGUUUUUCCUGUUUUAAACUUUAUUUUCACUUAAAUUAGUAAUCUUUAGCGUGAUUUCAACAUCCAAAUUAUUUCAUACUUAAGUUAAGAUUCUUCGGGCUUUUACAGAACUAAAUUUGAUCUAUUAAUUUCACAGUAAUCGCUUACAAAAGAAUCGCAGGUCGAAACUCUGUUUCCGCCCGAUUCGUGUUCUUCAGGCACUGACGUCACCUGACAUCAUUGCCUUAUUUCCUUUUCACAUUUAUUAAAUAGAUUAUAUUUAUCAUUUAGUUAAAAAAUUCAUAAAAAAAUCAUAUUCCUUUAGGAAAAUUCUGAAAUAUUACCUGAUAUUAUAUUACAUCCUUGUGAUCGACCUGGAAAUUUCCCACUAUUUUUGGAAUCUUUUAUCGAUUUAUAAUUGAUUUAUUCACUCUGAUAAAUAUUUAAAAUUCCAAGAAUUGGUCCUUUCUAGUUUUAUAAAAAUUUUAAAUUUGCGUGAUUUAUUAUACAACGAUUAAUUCAUGUCAGCCUCCGACCCGCUAGCGGGCUCGGUUGGCCGGCAGAUAUUUUUGCUUUUUCCAUAAAUAUAUUUUUUUCAUUUCUCUCAACAAAAUAAAAUUAUAAAAUCAUGUAAUUAAGCAAAAAUUCUUAUUAAUCAACUAGAAACCACUUCUCACAAUUUAACACAAAAAUAAGUCUAUUUAUCAUGAGUUAAGACUAAAAACAUCAUAUUACUAAAUUAUUAACUCAUGAUAAUGAAGACUUAUCACACCCCCCAACUUAAAUCAUUGCUAGUCCCUUAGAGAUAAUUAAAAAUAUAAUUAUCAUUCAGAAAUUUUAGACAUCAUAUUUCAAUGCACAAAAUACAAUUAGAAAUGAACCUCUGGAUAUUUUGGACUAUUUUAUCAAGUAUUAAAAAAAGAUAUAAAGCUUUUNNNNNNNNNNNNNNNNNNNNNNNNNNNNNNNNNNNNNNNNNNNNNNNNNNNNNNNNNNNNNNNNNNNNNNNNNNNNNNNNNNNNNNNNNNNNNNNNNNNNAGAGAGAGAGAGAGAGAGAGAGAGAGAGAGAGAGAGAGAGAGAAGAGGGGGAUCUUGCUUUUAUGGAAAAUUUUAGAGAGAGGAGGGAUGGUGGUUCAUUUCUGAGCGUCUCUCUCACCCUUAUGCACAAUUGUAGAGAGAGAAAGAGAGAGGAUAGUGAAUUUCUCAUUGUCUCUCUCACUUACACACAAUGAGAGCGGGAGGUAGAGAGGAUCACAGCUGUCUGCUCUCUGUUUUAUGCACUAUUUUUGAGGGAGGUAGAGAGAGAGAGAGAGAGAGAGAGAGAGGUAAUAAGUUAAACACACACACACACACACACACACAGUGUUUCCUUCCGGUUCAUAUCAAGCAAAAACCCAAAAUUUUUCUGUAUCGUUUUCUUUAUUUCCAUUACUCUUUGGGAAAAAAAAUUAAAAAGCUAACAAUUUUUUUUUCACUGCAGAGAUUAUCAAGCCGCAGAUUUUCCAGAGAUGGGCUUAAUCUCACAGAAGACAUGGUUGACCCGCAUUCAAUCUCCCAGCAGCUGGUCGUCCAGAUAUCCCUGGCCAAGACCCUGGUGGCCGUCGCCAAAGAAAACAACAAUCUCCAGUUGGCGUGGGAGCUGAGCACCCAGAUCCGCCGCUCUCAAGCUCUCCUCUCCAGUACUGCCGCCCAGCCGCCCGUGUUGACCCUGGCAGAGUCGGAGGCGGCCGUCCGCCAGAUGGCCCUGCUUCUGCAGACGGCCCAGCAGCUCCAUUACGACGGCGCCACCAUGAUCGCAAAGCUCAAGGCCAAGGUCCAGGCACUGGAGGAAGCCGCCGCCGCCGAGAAGGAGAAGAGCACCCGAUUUGGGCAGAUAGCGGCGGAGGAGCUCCCCAAGGGGCUGUACUGCCUGGGGGUCCGGUUGACCAGGGAGUGGUACAGGAGCUCCAGCUCGAGUUCUUCGGUGAGGAAGGUGGCGGCCGCUGCAGCCGCCGCUGCCGCCAGGAAGCUCACCGACAACAGCCUGUUCCAUUACUGCGUCUUCUCCGACAACGUGCUGGCCACAUCGGCGGUGGUCAACUCAACGGUGGUCAACACCAAGCACCCGGAGAAGGUCGUCUUCCACCUGGUCACCGACGGGGUCAACUUCGCUGCCAUGAGGUCCUGGUUCGCCAUGAACAGCUUCCGAGGCGCCGCCGUGGAGGUGCAGAACGUGGACGACUUCUCCUGGCUCAACGCGUCCUACGUCCCCGUGCUCCGCCAGCUCCAGGACUCGGGCACCAAGAGCUUCUACUUCUCCGGUGGCGACAGCGGCGGCGGCGGUGGCUCCGGCGACGGGGGAGGAGGGAAGGUCCCGGUGAAAUUCAGGAACCCAAAGUACCUGUCGAUGCUGAACCACCUCAGAUUCUACCUGCCGGAGGUGUUCCCGGCGCUGGAGAAGGUGAUCUUCCUCGACGACGACGUGAUCGUGCAGCGGGACCUGGCGGCGCUCUUCUCCGUUGACCUCGGCGGCAACGUCAUGGGGGCGGUGGAGACCUGCAUGGAGACCUUCCACCGCUUCCACAAGUACCUCAACUUCUCCCAUCCGCUGGUGCGGGCCCACUUUGACCCCGACGCCUGCGGCUGGGCCUUCGGCAUGAACGUCGUUGACCUCCGGGCAUGGCGGCGCCGCAACGUCACCGGCGUGUACCACUACUGGCAGGAGCGCAACGCCGAUCACACGCUGUGGAAGCUCGGAUCGCUGCCGCCGGGCCUGCUGGCGUUCUACGGGCUGGUGCAGCGGCUGGAGCCCGAGUGGCACGUGCUGGGGCUGGGCUACGCCACCGUCGGCGCCGCCGAGCUGCGGCGGGGCGCCGUCGUGCACUGGAAUGGGAACCAGAAGCCGUGGCUGAAGAUCGGGAACGAGAGGUACAAGGCCAUCUGGGACAGGUACGUUGACUUCUCCCACCCGCUUCUCCAGCAGUGCCACGUCCACUGACGACGGCGGUCAACUGGCGUAGCGGCGGCGGCAGCAGCAGCAGCAGCAGCAGCAGAGUGAGUGUUAUUCAUCUAAUCUAAGUCUGUUAAUUUGUGUGGGUGGGUGGGGGACGCUUCUUGGUGUUCUGGGUAGCCAUUUUUUUCCGAAGAUGGGGCUCGAAAUUAAUUAACUUGCCCGAAUAAACAGAUUGAUUGGGUUGCACCGUCGGAGCUCUCUCUCUCUCUCUCUCUCUCUCUCUCUCGCUCUCGCUAGGGUAGUUCCCACGGAAUGAACGUUUUUGUGGACCUCCGGCGAAGGACCAGGCUUCGGAGGAGUUCCGCUGUGGCUCAGUUUCCCCCCUCCCUUCUGGAGGAUGGUCGGAAUUAGAGAGAGAGGGAGGGACAGAGUAAUGANNNNNNNNNNNNNNNNNNNNNNNNNNNNNNNNNNNNNNNNNNNNNNNNNNNNNNNNNNNNNNNNNNNNNNNNNNNNNNNNNNNNNNNNNNNNNNNNNNNNUGACAACGGCACUGACGCCACUGGAUCACCCCUCGUCGUUUCCGGUGGGUCAUAUGCCACCGUUUCAUGAAACUCGCAGCUUCAAGUGAGCGGUUUCCUGCCCUUGGGAUUCCGCAGAAGCUUCUUUCAGAUCAGUGACAUCUCAUCCUCAUGGGACACACUCUGUCUUCUCUUUCUCUCUCUAUGUAAGCAAAUAACUUUAUUUUCAUAUCGAAUGGGUUGCAUCGACGGGUCAUUGGGAGUCCGUGCACCGGCUGCAGACGUGCGGAGGAGCCGUUGCCACGUUUUGUCCUACCCACCGUUCUUGCCUUUGGAAAACACUACCUCGUUGGAUGGUCGAUCCAUUCGGAGAAGAGUAUAAAGACUUGGCACGUGCCAACCACACGUAUUACACUAAAAAGGUCAUAAGGAACACAAGACAAUAAUCGUGUGCCAGACAAAGUUAGAAACUGAUAUCAUUAUGAUAAAGACUGUCAACUUGCUACGGGUAUAGCAGGGUCAGCGACAGCUCCCUCCGUUUGAUUGAUUCUGAUGCAAAUUUUCUUUUGCUUAGUUGAGGUAUUUAUUAUUAAUAUCAACUUAAGAUAGUCAAACAUUCCACUCUCAUCUUGAUUACUUCCACUGGGGAUGUCUAGUACUUAUUUCUAUAAAUUUUAAAUUUAAAUAAAAAUUAAGAAAGUUCAUUUACAUUUCGUGAUCAAAAAAAAUUAAGGUCACAAGACCUAUUAAUUCUAAUAGUUAUAGUUUUAUUUAUCAUCCUCUCUCUCUCUCUCUCUCUCUCUCUCUCCCCCCACUAUGUGUCAACUUGCUGUGUAAAGAGUAUAGUUACCCAAAACUCCCUCCAUUUAAUUGAUUGACGUAUAAAUUUUCUUCUGUGAAUUUAAGGGAUGUACGAUUAAUAUCAGCUUAAGAUAGUCAAGAUUCCAAACUCAUCUUGUUUUUACUUGGGAUAUCUAGCUCUUAUUUAUACUAAUUUAAAUUUUUUAUCAAAAAUUUUAAAAAAUAAUUUCUAUUUCAUGGUCAAUGAUAAAUUAAGAUCACAAGGCAUUAAUUCUAAUAAUUAUACUUUUAUUUAUCAUCCUCUCUCUCUCUCUCUCUCUCUCUCUCUCUCCCCCUCUCCUGCCUCUCCCUCUCCUAUUCUACUUAAGGUAGUAGAUAUCAAGGUUGCAUAUUGAUGUAGCUUAGAAACUUAUAUCAAAUGAGGGAUGGAAAGUUUUUGAUGAAGGUGGCCUAAAUAGAUAUUUAGAGGUGUCUAAAUUUCUCAUAAUUUUUAUUUUCAACUUAAAUUAGGUGGAACAAAUGAUGUCGUAAUUUUAGCCUAACUCAGAAGUAUUGGUUUAUACAGUCCAUUUAGGGUGUAUAUGAAGUGGAACAUAAGUUCAAGUAGCCUGAAGACCCAUUAAAGUUAGAGUUAUUCACAUUAAAAAAUUGGUCCACAUUUUAGGAUAUAUAAAUUGUUAGAUUUAUCUUUCUAUUUUUAGCCCCUUUCUAUUUUUAGCUCUUUCUACUUUAGGUCUUAGUUUUUUCUCCCUUCUAAUUUUUUCCUAUUCUAUCUUUAUUUCUUUUCUACUUAUUUCACCCUUUUAUUUUCAUGAUAUUUUAUAUUUUCCUUAUCUUUAUAUUUUUUAAUUUCAGUUGAAAUUUAAAUUUAGGCAAGCAAUAGAUUUCAUCCUAUUUAAAGGCACCUCAUGUAAUGAAGAAAUAGUUUAAUUUUUAUCAAUCUACUUUUGGAUUUCUGAUUGCUCUUAGGUCGUUGUUAUUAAAAUCAUCAACUUUUAAGUUAUAAAUUGAUUUUCCUAGGAAUAGUCUCUUAAUGAAUUAGUGGAAAACCCAAUCGAACACAAGGAGAGUUUUGAAUUAGUUGAUAUAUAUUACUUAAUGAGCAUAUUUUGAUUUAUUCACUCUUUGAAAUUCAGCAGCCACAACUAGAAAAAUUCAAUGUAUGUGGAGAGGAAGAUUUCUCUCAAGGUUUAACUAGCUACCUCAUAAAUAAAUUAUGGAUGGCCAGCAUGGAUGAUUCCCCACUUCCUUCAAUGACUUUGUCUAUUUAAAAUUCAUGAGGCAAAUGGAAAUAGACUUUCACGAAAUUUAUAUUGAAUUAAUUAGGAUAAAAGAGGUUUAAUUACAUAAAAGUCAAAGGAGUAAAAUAAAAAUAUUUUCUCCCUCUUGUUCUGAUGGAUGUGAGGAGAGAAUAGUGGCCUCAUACAUGGGUGUCUACGGUUGAUCCUCUUUUUAUUGUGCCAAGGGAGGAGACCCAUGAUCAUUUCCAACAUUGUCACCAUUGGAAAAAGGGGAAGGGGGAGGAAGGAGAGAGAGAGAGAGAGAGAUAGAUANNNNNNNNNNNNNNNNNNNNNNNNNNNNNNNNNNNNNNNNNNNNNNNNNNNNNNNNNNNNNNNNNNNNNNNNNNNNNNNNNNNNNNNNNNNNNNNNNNNNAGGGAGGAGAGAGAGAGAGAGAGAGAGAGAGGUUGUUAUUCAUCCAUCAUACAAACUGCUGCUUCAUCAAGAAUUUGGGAUUAUCCCUUUUUCUUGAUAUUUUUCUCUUUUCCUGUCUAUCUUCCGAGCUUUCCAAGAACGUAACACAGCCGCAUCCAUGACAUCGACUAGUGAUAUCGAAAGACUCUCUUCCAGAACACGGGGGCCUCGGUGCAGGUAUUCCUCUGGAUCCGCGACCAGUCAGGAGGCCUUUUCAAAGGUUGCUUUUGGAGGAUUUCCGGUUUAAAGCAGCCUCACCAAUAUCUGGGUAGACCUCCCUGUGGGCUUGGGUCCCAUUUCCCGCCUAUCUACUCUCUUGUGGGAGCUCGUCCAUGGUGGGCAUUGACGAGGAGAGACGUUGACUGUGAAGUCCGGCCGCCCUGCCCCCAGGGCUGGUGGGAUGAACGAGAAAACCUGUUGCGUCGCACUCUAGAAAUCCCGUCCCGUCCCAGCCGUCCGAUUAGCUUCAGCUCUCGUCCAGUCUUUAUGGAGGUCAAGGAAACGAGAGGACUACAUCUCUCUCUCUCUCUCGAUGAGGGUGGCAGUUCCUGAGUGGUCACUUAAUGGGGACCGUUCGACAGUGGACUAUGUUAGAGAGGAUCUCAGACCUAACGGUAUCAUCUCAACAGAGAAGGGAGAAGAAAGCCCUCCUUUUCUGACUCAUCCAUCUUCAUUGUUGCAAUAAAGGUGAGCUCUGAGCUGGAUUUCUGUUUGAAUGCCGUGUUAAAGUACGAGAUACUUGGAGGCCAACUGGUUUUCUGAAAAACUUACACGGUACGAAGGAAAUUCUUUGAUGCAUUUUAUCCAUCGAACAUCUUUACUGAAUUCUCUGAGUGGACUGGUGUGCCUGAGGAUCGAAGCACUGGGUUAAGGUUUAUGAAGUCUUAAAUACGAUGCAAAUGAGUUAGAUUUUAGAGCAAUGAUUAUGGCAUAAGCUUACUUCGAAAACUUGAAUAAAAUCUUUCUAUAUUGAUGUGAUUGCGUUCCGCUCAGUCUUCCUAUAGCCCAAUUUGUUUCUCUCCUUCUCUCACAUGGUAAUGAGGGACUUGCCGGCGAAUCUUAGCAUCCAUGAAUUCUCUGUCUGCCAGAGAACCAGACGGGCUCGAGUCCCCUCCCAAGAAAGUAGUUGAUCGCAUUUCUCAUAGAUUUUUUGCGCGGAGGUUCCAAGACUUGAAAACAAUUAAUCCAUCAGCCUUUGACUCCGUAGACUCCUAGUAGCGCCCGCAAACUUCUUUGACGAUGUCUAGUCCUACAAAAGAUCUUAAAUAAGGCUAACACAAGCAAUCAUGGCCACCUAGGGUUUACUUUUCAUAGCAAUCCAUAUGAUCCAAUGGCGCCUAGCAGGAUGCUCGGUCGUGCGGCGGCUAACACCAGUCCUACUUCAAUCCGCCCUCCGACAGUCAAAGAUCUCUCUCGCUCUCUCUCUCUCUCUGUCUGGUGGGGAGAAUCCGAUGCUGUUUCCUGGGUGGAGAAUCGUUUGGGAAUGUUCCUUAUGGGUGGUCCGGUGCCUUUCAACUUGAAGCUGGCCGUCUCGUCUGUCUGUGUUUUCUUGGUACCUAUCUACCUAAGUCACCAUCUUUUUUCAAGACUGAGUGAGGUAUGUACACACAUACAUAUCGAGAGAGAGAGAGAGAUCUAGAUGUAUACUCAUUAAGAGAGAGAGAGAGAGAGAGAGAGAGAGAGAGAGAAAUCUUAUAAUAUAAUGGUGACAGAAUGCAUGUUUCCUUAGCAUUCUCUGUCUUCUUCCAAUAUAUGACAGACGGCAGUGGUGAUUUCAAGGACGAACCACCAUGAGAGUGUGUAAAGAUGGAGAGCAACUCUGGCGACACUGGCCACAGCAUAAUACAUGGUUCCAGUCUGAACCGGAGUCAGGCGACCAUAUCAUGGCCCAUUACCCAUAUCGUCACGCUCUCUCUCUACAUUUAUUUCUGUACAUAUGCUUUCUCUUUUAUCUGCUAAAAUGUAAUCCGCUCACGUUUCACAUUUAUUUAUGAAUCUUCUUUCAAGCAACCGAGAUACGGAGUAAAGGGCUGUUUAGUGAGCGCUAUCACGACUGAUUCAUGUUUUGUCCCUUCGGAUUUUUCAAAACUUUGGACUCCAGUACGCGUCAAGUUAGCAAAGUUGUCAAUAGGGCAGGCAAGACAUAUAGCUCCAUUUUUAAGGUAUUGGUCUCACGAUUUUAGUCUGGUUCACUAACAUCUUUUGGUUGAAUUGGGGAUACCACGCUUGUUACUCCGCAGCACCUUUCUAAGACUCUUGCGAGAGAGAGAGAGAGAGAGAGGACGUANNNNNNNNNNNNNNNNNNNNNNNNNNNNNNNNNNNNNNNNNNNNNNNNNNNNNNNNNNNNNNNNNNNNNNNNNNNNNNNNNNNNNNNNNNNNNNNNNNNNAGAGAGAGAGAGAGAGAGAGAAGUCGUCAUAUUUACCGCGCAAUUAUGAACUCUUACCCGAAUGUGCUUAUAGGUGGUUCACCACCCUUUCGAUAGUCUCCAGGCCAGAGUUUGACGCUUGCUUAUAGAAAUUGUGAGGCUGAGAAAGUGAGCAGACUGCUAGGGGACGAGACUUUCUGAGAAGCUCAAACGAAGCAACCGCGAUGGGUUCGGAAGUGGGGGAGAUGUUGGAGGUAAACUCACCGGCGCCUGCCGGAGCAGAGAAAUCCCGGUUCAAAAAGGUAUGCGUGUUCUGCGGAAGUAGCCGGGGGAGGAAGAAGAGCUACCAAGACGCCGCCGUCGAGCUUGGGAUGGAGUUGGUACGUCCCAUCCUUCCUAAAUUGAAACGAGACAAUUCCUUUUGCUAUGGAUUUCCGGCUACCGUCGCCUCUGCCCACCUUAGUGUUUGGCGGCGUGUGUGCAGGUGUCUAAGAAGAUAGAUCUGGUUUAUGGAGGCGGCAGCGCGGGGUUGAUGGGCCUGAUCUCCCAAGCCGUGCACAGUGGCGGUGGCAAUGUUCUUGGGUAACCCUUGGAUUCCUCGGAUGCCUUUGUCUUCGUCAUCUCGAUCUUCUUCCCUCUGGUUCAGUGGCUGACUGCGGGCUUUACUGUUCGCUUCUGUUUCAUCUCUUCCCUUUCUCUUCUCAGGAUCAUACCUCGGACUCUGAUGCGCAAAGAAGUAAUUUUUUCCCUUCUCGACUUGACUGUCGUCUUGUUCUUCUCCUCAUCCUCUUCUCAUUCCAUCGUCUCUUGUGGACGCCCACAGCUAACAGGAGAGACAGUAGGAGAGCUGAAGAUAGUGACCGGUAUGCACCAGAGGAAAGCCGAGAUGGCUUGCCAAUCUGAUGCUUUCAUCGCCCUUCCUGGUCUUUCUCUCACUUCGUCUCGAUGUCUAUAUGUUCUCUUUAUUGAUCUCUGAGGUGAACGACGAAAGGGCCUCAUUCAGGUGGCUAUGGGACCCUGGAAGAGCUUCUGGAGGUCAUCUCGUGGGCUCAGCUGGGGAUCCACAGUAAGCCGGUGAGCGUCUAUUGUGCCAUCUCUUCAUUUCAGCUUCUGUUCAGGAGCGAAUGAUUAAGGGAUUGUUGGUCAUCUGCAGGUGGGACUGCUGAACGUUGAUGGGUACUACAACUCACUCCUCGCCUUAAUCGAUAGCGCCGUAGACGAGGGCUUCAUCAGGCCUUCGCAGCGCAACCUCUUUAUCUCAUCUUCUAGUGCCAAGGAGCUUGUCCAGAAACUAGAGGUGCAUCUUCAACCCCCAUUUUCUCCAAGUCACAUCUUUUUCGCUCUCCUUUCGUCUAUCAACUCUGUCAUAUUAGCAUUCUUUCCGUUCUUCUAAUCUCGGUCCGAAAUCUGGACAGGACUAUUCGCCGGCGGAGGACGGGUUGGCAACUGAGCUUCGACAAGAGAUGGUACAGUUCGACAAUGAAUCGUCCUUACCAGAUGAGAUCGAUCGCCCAGUAGCAAUCGCCGAAGAGGGACAGAUAUGCUAGAACAAACUACCACCACUGUACUCUGCAUUCUCUACUAUUAAUUUAUAUCCACGACUGCUCUGCCUCUCUCUCCCCGUUCCGCCCCUCUGCCUUCUUCUUUCUCUAUGCCCAUCACUUCAACUUCUUGGAUCUGGUCGGAGAGCUCCGGAGUCACGGCAGCGCUGUUCUGUGCCAUGAAAACACCUCAACAGCCAGUCGAAAUUAUCACUACUUGAUUAUCCCGCUUUAGAGGGGCCAAGUUAAAGCCUCAUUAGAUAGUCGCAGGCAGUGAGUAGGGAUCUGGAAAUGGUUCACAGCUAGACGAAACAGUGCUCUCGCCUAUAACGGGACAGACGAAGCCGUUUGACCCAAAGAACUUCCGAAUGCGUAAAUCUGGUUCUCCACCUUUUCUCGACUGGGCAUUUCCGCUUGUGUGCAUCAUCUCUCCGUUCAUUUUCUGUUGAGACGGAUAGAGAGAGCAAGAGACGAGAGAGAGAGAGAGAGAGAGAUGGUCAUCAAUCAAAAGAGGCUAGGCGAUGGGGCAGGAACGCUUUAUAUUCCCGUCUUCCUUUCCGCCCGCCUUUCCUGAAGAGGAGGAGCACGCGAGAGGGCCGUGCGAGUGCGGUGCUUCUCCGUAGACUGGUUCCUGGUAGCGACAGAGUGGCCGAGGGGGACGAGCCCAUCCCUAAAGUCCUCCCCUCGCUCCAAAGAACAGUCGCGUUAGACCUUUAUUAACUCACCAUCCCUCUCCACGGGCGGCCCAUCUGUCUCUUUCUCUCCCUUUACAUGGGGACCUCGUGUUGAAUUCCUCCCUCCCUNNNNNNNNNNNNNNNNNNNNNNNNNNNNNNNNNNNNNNNNNNNNNNNNNNNNNNNNNNNNNNNNNNNNNNNNNNNNNNNNNNNNNNNNNNNNNNNNNNNNAGAGAGAGAGAGAGAGAGAGAGAGUUAUGGCUGUCAUGUUAAUAAAAAAUUAAUCUUUAUGUUGGGGGAGGGGGUCUGGUUGACCGGGUGGGCCGGGAAUCCUCGCAUGAUGUUCAAAUCUGAUUGGCAGAUUGACAUUGACGCAACGCCGUCCGCGUCAUCCACGUGCGGGCUGAUCGACACGUGGGCAGGGCGCCACGCGAGACCCCCGACCGACGGGAAUACCCGUCGCCGAUCGGCUGGCCUGCCCGGUUGACCGGAGACAGGCGGGGCUUUCCGACGUUGGCCCAUCCUCGCAGACCGCGCGUGCCCCGCCACAAGAGAUUCUCCCCCUCUGUCACCGGAUCUGAAGGACAGAUGUCGGUCACCCUCGCCCCACAGAGAGAGAGAGCGAGUGAGAGAGAGACCCAUCGGAUGGCGGGUGGACGGUCACGAUCGCAGCUCCCACUGGGGGGCUUUGAAGAGAAGGGCCAGUCUGCGGCCAGAGAAAGUAAAUUCUCCCGGGGUAUCCGGCAUUCAACGGGGGUCUGCCAGAUUGGCGCGGUCUUCGAGGCGGCGCCGCCCAGCCGCUAGCUGUCCGGCCGCCACCAAUCGGCCUCCACCACGCCUCUCUCAGGUGCCACCCCCGCCGCCCACACGUGCAGCCACCCAUAAAAUGGCCUCCCCCUUGCUCUCCCUCCGGCGAGGCCCUCAGAGCUCGAUCGAGAUGCCGGAGAGGGUGGCGCCACUGGACAUGGCGGCGGUGCAGGUGCCGUGCCACUUCCGGUGCCCCAUCUCGCUGGAGCUCAUGAGAGACCCCGUCACCGUCGCCACCGGGCAGACCUACGACCGGCAGAGCAUCGAGUCCUGGAUCGCCGCCGGCAACUCCACCUGCCCCGUCACCCGCUCCCCCUUGCCGGAGCUCUCCCUCAUCCCCAACCACACCCUCCGCCGCCUCAUCCAGGACUGGUGCGUCGCCCACCGCUCCCUCGGCGUGGAGCGGAUCCCCACGCCGAAGCAGCCCGCCGAGCCCGCCGCCGUUCGCCGCCUGCUGGGGCAGGCGGAGUCGCCGUCCUCCGCCGAGCCCGCCCGGGUCGCCGCCCUCCGCCGCCUCCGCUCCCUCGCCGGCGACUCCGACGGCAACCGCGCGGUGAUCUCUACGCCGGAGAAUCGAGCCUCCCUGUUGUCCCUCUCCUUCCGGGGAGCGCCGCCAUCGAGCUCCCCCGCAGGCGGCUCUGCCGUGGCGGUGGAGGCCCUCUCGGUUGUGGCCAUGCUGCCGCUCUCGGAGCAGGACAGCGCCUCCGUGGCUGGCAGCGCCGAGCGGCUGUCGUGGCUGGCGGCGCUGCUCUCGCUCCACAACUCGGCGGAGACCCGGGCAGACGCCGCCGCCGUGCUGGAGGCCGUCUCCGCCGGGACGAAGUCGCCGGACCUGCGCGCCACCAUUGGCGGCGCCGAGGGGAUUAUGGAGGGGCUGGUUCGAAUGCUGGACAGAGACCGUCGCAGCAGCACGAGGGGGAUCAAGGCGGCCAUCAGGGCUCUCUUCUCGCUCUGCCUGGUGAAGCAGAACAGGGAGCGGGCGGCGCCGCUGGGCGCCGCCGAGUGCCUGGUCGAUAGGGUGGCCUCCGGCGAGCUGGACCGCGGGGACAUGGAGCGGGCGCUCGCCACCGUGGAGCUGCUCUGCCGAGCGGAGAGGGCCCGCGAGGCGCUUGCGGCCCACGGCGGCACGGUGGCGGCGCUGGUGAAGGUGCUGGCCGUGAAGGUCUCUGACCGGGCGGCGGAGCACGCGGCGGGGACCCUGGCGGCGCUGUGCGCGGCGUCGGAGGCGCUACAGCGGGAGGCGGUGGCCGGAGGGGUCCUCACGCGGCUACUGCUGAUGGUGCAGAGCGACUGCUCUGAGCGAGCGAAGAGGAAGGCGCAGCUUCUGCUGAAGCUCCUACGGGCGGCCUGGCCGGUCGGCGACUCCCUCGCCAUUUCCGACGACUUCCAGGUCCAUCCCUCUGCCGCCGCCGUCCCCACCGCCUCCUUCCUCUGCUAACAGCGGGCAGAGGGCCGGGGACAGAGGGCAGAUUUGCUCUCCCCCCCCCCCAAUACGACACGUUCUGUUCCAGAUUAAUUCGCCCCCUCCCCUCCCCUGUUUCCCAUCUGUGCGACCUCUGCUCCUGUGUCUCCUGGGAGAAACAAGGUAGAGCUAGCUCUCUCUCUCUCUCUCUAAAACUAUCAUAUUUUUCCAUCUGCAUCGCCCUCUCCUCCUCUGUCUGUCUCUCCGGCGCAAUGGAGAAGCCCCUCCUCCCAUCGGCCCUCUCCUCGGUUGUUGCCGGGCACAUCCUCUCUCCCUCUCUCUCUCNNNNNNNNNNNNNNNNNNNNNNNNNNNNNNNNNNNNNNNNNNNNNNNNNNNNNNNNNNNNNNNNNNNNNNNNNNNNNNNNNNNNNNNNNNNNNNNNNNNNAGAGAAGAGAGAGAGAGAGAGAUGCCCACCUCUCUCGUAAACCCCUAACUCCGCUCUGAGCUGGGGAAAGGGGAACCCCGUCCCCUCCAUUGCCUCUUAACGGACCCUCGAUCUGGGCCGUUGAUCCGCCGCCUGAUCGACGCAGCUCCGAAUAUCUGCCUGCGCUCGUGACAUCCUCCCCAACCCCAGAGAGCGGACCCGAAUGGUAAGGUCCAUUUUACCCUAUUGGGCCGCCCUGAGCGAGAGCUCCGAUCUCGGCCCUUAAUGGGCCAAGCCUAAAAAGAUAGUGACCACAAAAUCUUACAAAAAUAUGCUUAAAUCAAAUACUGGAUAUUAGGACGGAUCCGCUUGAAACCUCGAUUUGCCAUGUAUUCCAGCUUGCCACGAAGAUCCUUUAAUUUAACGUCUGCAAGGAAAAUCCCCCCACAAAAAGUUUGAGCAUGUUUAAUCAAUUUCAUGCAAGAUAAAUAUUCCUUUUUUUAAUCAAAAUGAAUCAACCACCAAUUAUAAUUUCACAUCUGAUGACAUCGAUCUCAUGCCUUUUAUUUGAAAUAAUUUACCUAAAUUACUCUAUGAAUCCUCAAAGUAUUAUUGAGUACAUCCACAACUCAACAAUACGAUUUUUAGCAUGUUCAAGAGACUAAGAUAACACAUUAGAAAUGUGGGUUUUAUGUCACAUUUAAUUAAACCUGAGAGAAAGAGGAAGAUAAUCCUUUAUUUAAGCUUUUCAGAAAAACACUACUUUAAAAACUUUCAGGAGAAAUGGUUGUCAAUGAAUAAUUUGCUGGAUAUAUGAGGAAGCCCAAGAAUGUUCUUAGUGAUUCAAAGACAUAAAAAAGUUAAUUGGUGAUACUGUGCUUUCUCCUCCUGCUGAUAGUUAAAAAAAUAGAGAACAAGUCCAAAUCAUCAUGGUUCAUUUACUUGGAGGUCAUUUAUCUAGUUGACGUUUUUCAAAAGUGAUUUGAUUGUGUCACUCUACAUGGAUUCCAUUAUUAAAUGGCUUAACCUUUAUUGAGCAUUUUAUUUUAGUUGUUGCAUUGGAGCCAUUCUCAUCUAGAAAGUAGAAUUUUCUAUAAAUUAUCUUACAUUGAAGUAUUCUGAAUUACUUGGUUCUCCUUUCAAAAUAAUGAGCUUAUGAUACAAGCUUUUGAUGAAUGUGCUUUAGUUUGUCAUAUGGGUUUUGAUGAAUGUAAAUUAAGCUUAUGUAUUCACCUUAUCCUACAUAGAGAGCAGAAAAUAGUUUACAAACCACAUUUGUCAUCAUUUGUGAACCUUGUAGGCAAAGUCAAAUCAGAGCUUCUCAAUGUAAAUGAUAACAUGCUUACUUUAUUAGUACUUGAGAAUGAUCCCAAGGUGAUGAGACCAAGGUGGCUAAUACCAAAAAUAUAGCAUUCAGCUGGCCAGAAUGGUGUACACUACCUUUAAAAGCUAGUUCAGAGCUCUCCUAAGCCUUCAACUGCUCUAUAUAUUAGUUUCCAUCUUAAUGUAACUGAUCCUUAUACCAUUCAAUAAAUGGCAGCCCACCCAAUAACUACCUUACAUGACAAAUAAGAAGAAAAAAUGACAAGGAGUGAAAGGCAAAACAAAUGUAGCCUAGUGAUCCUCUUUUCUACACAAGAAAUAAAGAUUUAGUCCUGGAAGUCAAUCUACCUUGCCCUUAAUACUACCUUUGCAUUUGACUCCUUGCCUUAUAAUCUGUAUUUAGUGAAGCUAUUCUAAUUUUGUUUAUUGUGGUCAUUAUAUUGUAUUAAAUUUAUGACAUCAAGCCAACUGCAGUGUGUUCUCAUCUAUAAGAAAGGGAAGAAUCGCGAUUUAAUAAGUUUAUAGAUUUAGGAGAAUCUAAAAUAUUACAAUUAUAGAAAUUAAAAAUCAUAAUUCAAAAGACUAAAAAAAGAGAUUAUAUGCGUUCUGGGACCCUCUUUUCCCACUGUUCUUGAUGAGAAACAUCUCUCACUUGUCCAGGCUCGACGAUGGAAGAAUACCAUUUCUUAUGAUCUAAAUUCCAAUUUCCUCUGUGUUUGUAAAGCGAAAUAUUUAUCUCUUCUCUGUCUGAAUCGAAUUAUGCACGUGCUCUCUCAUUUUAGAGUGGACUUGUGUGGAUGAACAGGUUAGCGAAGAGGUGGAGCCAGUUCUCUCUCUCUCUCUCUCUCUCUCUCAUUCCGCGUCAAUAUACUGUUGUGAGAUGGUAUUGUUAUCUAAUCGGUUUAGAGGACGUACUGAAAAAGGCGUAGUAUAAGCAGUAAUGCUUAAUCUCCAUAACAUCAGAUGGAUUGAUCUGGAUUGAUGGCGAGCUCCGAACGGUACUUGUGUGCUUGUCCUCAANNNNNNNNNNNNNNNNNNNNNNNNNNNNNNNNNNNNNNNNNNNNNNNNNNNNNNNNNNNNNNNNNNNNNNNNNNNNNNNNNNNNNNNNNNNNNNNNNNNNUUAAAUGCCGUAGGAUAUUUUUUGUGGGCCCAUCUCCAUUUAUUUGGAUGUUCCACGACUCAGAGAAUAUCAUAGUUAUUAAAUAGAUUAAUGCCACGACUGCCGUCGUCGUGGCCUCUCCUGUGCAUCCACGUGUUCAUGUGGGACCCGAACUCUCUCCCCUUCUGCGUGCCAUCGAGCUCAUUAGCGGGGGUCUCUGCAUGCUGUAAAACGUUGGAAUUUUCAUUUGAAGAGGCGAAAUGUAUUUUACUCGGCAUUAUCCAAAUGCCUUUUACCAGAACAACGGUCUUAAAAUGAUCUGACCAGAAGGAACCGGCGACAAGGACGUGUUCUGCAGAGGACUGAGGGUAAUAUUGAACGCAUUAACUCCUGGCGAGUCUUAUCCUUUAAUCGAGCCUCCAACCGUCGCGUGCGCCCCAUGAAGACUUUGUCUGUCUCUCUGCCUUUCUCUCUGUCUCUCUCGCCGCUGAGCAAAUAAAUAGGGUGCAGGAGGGGAGGAGUGGUAAACGUGAGAGUCUCUGGACGAACCAGUCAGUCGGAAGAGGAUCGAUGGCCACUUCGACCCGCUGCUGCCGCCGUCCACGGCGGGGCGCUUCAUCGAGUCCGCUCCUCUCGGUCGUCCUCGUCGGGAUCUUCCUCCUCGGGUGCUCCGCCCCGCGCGCCCUCGGCUACGUGCGCCCGCCGGCGAGGGCGAACAUCGCCGUCAGCCUCGCUGUGACCGACGUCAACACCCCACAGCAGGUGCGUUUGAUCCCUUUUUUCGAUUCCUCUGUUCAAGAGUUCAUUUCCCGGCUAUCCUUCUUCUUCCUCGUUUUCUGCUCCCUCGGGCCAGACUCUGAACCAUCCUUCCUGCAGGUGCAUAUAUCCAUGGUAGGCGCGGACAAGAUGAGGGUGAGCUGGAUCACCGUGGCCAACGUCUCCUCCACCGUAUACUACGGCACCACGCCCGGCGUAUACGGAAGCUCCGCCUCCGGUUCGUCUUCCUCGUACAGCUUCCUCACCUAUAAAUCCGGUCGCAUCCACGACGUCGUCAUCGGGCCUCUACUCCCGAGCACCGUCUACUACUACCGCUGCUCCAACGCCACCAAGGAGUUCAGCCUCAAGACCCCGCCGGCGCAGCUCCCCAUCAAGUUCGCCGUCGUCGGUAAGCCCAUCCUUCCCUCGUCCUGCGCGUCUUCCAUUAAGAUGGUUUGUUUGGGGCCGGAAUAGCGUUGACGUCGUUCGACUGCCCGGAGCAGGAGACCUCGGGCAGACUGGGUGGACGAAAACGACGCUCGACCACGUCGCCGUCUCCGGCUAUGACGUGCUCCUCCUCCCCGGGGACCUGUCAUAUGCCGACACUGUCCAGAGCCUGUGGGACUCGUUCGGCGUCCUCGUGGAGCCGCUGGCGAGCCAGCGGCCGUGGAUGGUGACAGAGGGAAACCACGAGAUCGAGAAAGUAUCCACGAUCGAGUCUUUUAGGGCCUACAAUGCUCGGUGGCGCAUGCCGUACGAGCUGAGCGGCUCCCCCUCCAAUCUCUAUUACUCCUUCGACGCCGCCGGCGGGGCGGUGCACAUCAUCAUGCUGGGCUCCUACACGGACUUCGCCGUCGGCACCGCCCAGUACAAUUGGCUCGUUGCCGACCUGGCGAAAAUCAACCGGCAGACGACUCCGUGGGUGGUGGCGCUGAUCCACGCACCGUGGUACAACACGAACUACGCCCACCAGAAUGAGGGGGAGUCGAUGAGAUUGGCCAUGGAAGGACUCCUCUACAGAGCCCGCGUAGACGUCGUCUUCGCAGGCCACGUCCACGCCUACGAGCGUUUUGUAAGCGCGAACCCAUCCUCGUCGUCCUCCUCGCGUCGAUCAACGAGCGCUCUAAAACCAUGCUGUGAUUUGAUGGGAUUUUGCUGUUUUGGUGGAACUGUUUCAGGACCGAGUAAACCUGAAGAAGCAGGAUAAAUGCGGACCGGUGCACAUCACCGUCGGCGACGGGGGCAACAGGGAAGGAUUAGCUACUGCGUAAGUAAUCCGUCGUAUUGCGGCAUAGAGUAUCUGAUUUUAAUCUAUGGGUUUUCCUAACGUUAGGAUUAAUCUGCAGAUACAUAAGCCCCAAGCCCGCCAUCUCGCUGUUCAGAGAGGCGAGCUUCGGGCACGGUCAGUUCAACGUGGUCAACAAGACUCACGCCCGGUGGACCUGGCACCGGAACAGCAAUGACAUCUCGGUCGUCGGCGACGGUGUCUGGCUGACCGGCCUCUUCUCCACCCCCGGAUGCUUCUAGUUAACUGAUGCAGGAGAGGAAAUAAGAGCGAGAGAGCGAGAGAGAGAGAGAGAGAGAGANNNNNNNNNNNNNNNNNNNNNNNNNNNNNNNNNNNNNNNNNNNNNNNNNNNNNNNNNNNNNNNNNNNNNNNNNNNNNNNNNNNNNNNNNNNNNNNNNNNNCAUUAAGUUGAUUUUGACAAAUCGAACUGGAGAUUUAGCAAGACCAUUGUCAACCACUACCUUACGAUGAGACAAUUGUAAAUUUACUGAAUGCCUAUUUUAUUUCAUUUAGACUGUGGAUUAUGAAAGCAUUCAGAUGAUUUUGACAACUAAAAACUUGAGAUUUAAAGAAAGCAUUCCCAGCCACUAACUUGCAAUGAGACAAUAGUAGGUGUUCUGAAUGGGCACUUUAUUCAUCUACACACUCCAGGACAGCAACGCUUAUUUGCAGUGCUGGUGCUUAUUGUAAGGGUAUUCAUUUCAUCAUAAAAACUCAAAGCUAGAACCUACGUAGAUAUGUCUUUAUUAGGUUUUCAACAUUGACAAAUACAUACAUAUAUAUAGAUGUAUAUUUACUUUUUUCUCUCCACCAUAUGGAUAAUUUCAAUCCAAGCACAACAUUGGGAAGAUUUGUCCUCCUUUUGUGGAAAAUAGCCAUAAACUUGAUUACUUAUUAAAAAAGACAUUACAGUAAAUAAUUUAUCACUUCAUGAGAUUAUAAUUGUCGACGACUCAUUCUUCGGAUCAUCUGAAAUCAGUAGAGGGAUCUCGCAAAAUUCUUGGAUCGACAACUAAAAAUCAUGCUGGCAUAAUCACAAGAUAUCCAAAAAAAUAUACUUCCAAGGUCCACGAAAAGUCCCCAAUUCGAAGGAAAGAUGAGAACAGAGGUAAAGAGUUCAAAUGGUAAUCGGCAAGGAAAACCUCAAAUUGAAGCAUAAAUAUUAAAAAUUUAUUGGACAGGAGAAGAACGUGUUAUCUUCUCGAAGGUGAGCCAAGAAAAAUCACAUCAUUCCCAAUAACACAGAUGAGGGCCCUGGGUGUAUGACGAACCCCUUGGAGCUGAGGACGUCUCCCGCCACCGUCGCACAAAUCCUUCUCUCCUCUGCCAUUCCCCUUGAUUAUCGCGUUAAGGGAUGAGUUUCAUCGCUCUCAGCGUCUAUUACUGAGCAUAUGAUAUGCCCCCAUUUUAUAGCCAAAAAUGCAUUUAUUUUAUCAUAACUUCUCUGAACGUUUGACGUAAGAUACAUCAGAUUUGAGCCACUUUCCACGCAAAGUGUGAAACAAGAACAACCACAACGACACAGACGAAGGAAUGAGUCGGAUCAGGGGUAUAGAUGGGGCCUCCUACUUGGGUCUUCCACUGCGCCAUGCAAAUGAGAGAACCAAAUUCGCCAGCCAUUGACCUGGGUUGUCUAG
rnacentral:lncRNA from 1 species